UUGAACAAGGUAUCGGAUACCGACGAUCGAAUCUUGGGCAAGUACAAUACCGCUGGACAAAGGGAAUUGAAUACGGGAUUGAUUGAAUCCUCGACAUCGUGGUUCAUCCGAUGAGAUCAUCGUGGAACAUGUGGGAGCCAACAUGGGUAUCCAGAUCCCGCUGUUGGUUAUUGACCGGAGAGUCGUCUCGGUCAUGUCUGCAUGUCUCCCGAACCCGUAGGGUCUACACACUUAAGGUUCGGUGACGCUAGGGUUGUAGAGAUAUUAGUAUGCGGUAACCCGAAAGUUGUUCGGAGUCCCGGAUGAGAUCCCGGACGUCACGAGGAGUUCCGGAAUGGUCCGGAGGUAAAUAUUUAUAUAUGGGAAGUCCUAUUUUGGCCACCGGAAAAUGUUCGGGAUUUUUCGGUAUUGUAUUGGGAAGGUUCUAGAAGGUUCCGAAGUGGGGCCCACAUGCAUGGGGGGACCCACAUGAACGUGGGUAGUGGGGGCAAGGCCCCACACCCCUGGUCAAGGCGCACCAAGAUCCCCCCUUAGAAGGAAUAAGAUCAUAUCCCGAAGGGAUAAGAUCAAGAUCCCUAAAAAAGGGGGAUAACAAUGGGUGAGGAAGGGAAAUGAUGGGAUUUCUUUCCCCCCACCUUUGCCAACGCCCCAAUGGACUUGGAGGGCAAGAAACCAGCCCCCUCCACCCCUAUAUAGUGGGGAGGCGCAUGGGAGCCGCACCCUAGCUCCUGGCGCCUCCCUCUCCCCUCGUAACACCUCUCCCUCUCGCUGAGCUUGGCGAAGCCCUGCCGAGAUCCCCGCUGCUUCCACCACCACCACACGAAGUUCUCCUGGAGCUUAAUGCUGAUGCGCCGAUCUUUGUCUAGGUGAGGCUUGUCGCACAGAUCUCGGUCGUCAUUGCACCAACUGCACUACCUCCGGAGACUUUCGUCGUCCAAUGACGACAUUUCCUACGUUCAUAAUUCAAAGAUUAAACUUGUACAAUUCAAUAUAUGUACUACACAAAUUAAAUUACAUCAUUAUUAUUCAUCACGGGUUGACUAUCGGUCUGUCGAGUCUUUUUCUUGAAAACUCUUAGCUCGCUCACUGUCGGGAUUUUUCAUCCUCUCACAUGUGGUGGAGACUCUCACUCACUGAUUUCUCUCUGACAUUUGUGUCCGUCGGUGAUGGUCGUUAUUCCUCCUCCCCCUAGUGCAUAACAAAGGUCUAGCACCCUAAGAAGAAGGAGAACGACCCCCACGACAACAGUCGGGCUUCUUCGUCCUCUCUCAUAUAUGGUGGAUACACUCCCUUACUGAUUUUUCGACCUUCGGUGAUGGAACCUCGACAGACUUAAAGUCAACCCAAAAUGUCGUUUAAUUAUUUUUCUAGAAAAUCUAGGCCACUCGAUAUUUCCUACAUAUUCUAGCACAAGUCAUGCCAGAAUUCACGAAAAAAUCCGGCAUGACCUUUGCUAAAAAGGACAUAUCGAGCGCCUGAAAUUUGUCAGAACGGAAAUUAAUCAACACUCUAGCAAAACAUAGGCCACUAUAGGAGGUGUAACCUACAAACAUGGCCAACCACUUGGGCAAGCACAUAUCCUAUUUGAGCAACACAACAUAUACAUGUUUAUAUCUACAUCAUAUGAGCAUUCAAACUUGAUGGAGUAGUUUUCCAAUUUGAGCAUUCAAUAAGCAAAACCAAAUCGUAAAAUAAAUUAGUAUUCAAAUUAGCAUUCAUUCACUAAGCAAAACUAAAUCAUCUCUUUCAUCCGUACAUCGGCGAAUAUUAUCACUAAUUGAUCUCCAAUAGUAUCAUACAUAAAACAUCAUUAAUACAGCUAAAACCGUAGCAAACGACGGGUAUCAGCGCGGGCGGUGGACACCCAAAGAGCAGGAACCAUCACAGGAUCACAACUCCAGUGAGAUCCCUGAAGAACCUCCCAGGUAUUGGAGAACCUGCCCUCCAACGCAACCAUGUAGCGAUGGACAUGCUCGUCCUCCUUGCUGACAUGGUGACGUACCACCUCCGCGGGGCCUCAAGCCUCCGCACCUUCACUGGCCCACACGACCGCCACCAAAGAAGGUUUGGGUCAAUGACGGGCUGGCUCCUCACCAAGCUGCGCCCCGGGAAGGUAGCACCUCCCAGUACCAGCCCGGCGGAGCCCAGUCCCGGACAUGGCUCCUCACCAAGCCCAUGCCUCCUUCGCCGAGUCGACGACGAGGAUGUGGGAUAGGCAUCAUCGAUGUCGAUGCGGGAAUAAUUUCUUUAACUAAAAAAAUAAAAACAAAUGUGACACCAAAAACACCUAAAUUCUAUUAACUACACCUAAUUAAAAACCUACAUUUUCGAAACACCCACAAUGCGGCUAUAUCUCCCACGUGUCGGGGCCCGACUUAGAGGCAUAGCCGCAUGCUAGGUUUGUCGCAAGAGGGGUAAUCUUCACACAAUCCCAUGUACUGAAUAAGAAAGGGAUAAAGAGUUGGCUUACAAUCGCCACUUCACACAAGUACAAGUUUAACAUAUAUCAUCCAGAAUACAAUCAAGGUCUGACUACGGAACCAAAGUAAAAGAAGACAACCCCAAAAGCUAGAUCCCCGAUCGUCCCAACCGGGCUCCACUACUGAUCAACAGGAAGCGAAACAACACAACAAACAUGAUCUUCAUCGAGCUCCCACUUGAGCUCAGUUGCGUCACCUGCACUGAUAUCAUCGGCACCUGCAACUGUUUGGAAGUAUCUGUGAGUCACGAGGACUCAGCAAUCUCACACCCGCGAGAUCAAGACUAUUUAAGCUUAUGGGUAGGAUAGGGUAAUGAGGUGGAGCUGCAGCAAGCACUAAGCAUAUAUGGUGGCUAACAUACGCAAAUAAGAGCGAGAAGAGAAGCAACGCAGCGGUCGUGAACUAGAAGUGAUCAAGAAGUGAUCCUGAAACUACUUACGUUCAAGCAUAACACAAGACCGUGUUCACUUCCCAGACUCCGCCGGAAAGAGAUCAUCACGGCUACACACGCGGUUGAUGCAUUUUAAUUAAGUAAAGUGUCAAGUUCUCUACAGCCGGAUAUUAACAAAUUUCCAUCUGACCAUAACCGCGGGCACGGCUUUCGAUAGUUCAAAACCCUGCAGGGGUGUUCCAACUUAGCCCAUCACAAGCUCUCACGGUCAACGAAGGAUAUUCCUUCUCCCAGGAAGACCCGAUUAGACUCGGAAUCCCGGUUACAAGACAUUUCGACAAUGGUAAAACAAGACCAGCAAAGCCACCCGAAUGUGCCGACAAAUCCCGAUAGGAGCUGCACAUAUCUCGUUCUCGGGGCACACCGGAUGAGCAGUCUGUACAACUAAAACCAACCCUCAAGUUUCCCUGAGGUGGCGAUGCAAUGGGCUCUAGUUUGGACCAACACUCAGAGGAGCACUGGCCCGGGGGGUAAAAUAAAGAUGACCCUCGGGCUCCGGAAACCCGAGGGAAAAAGGCUUAGGUGGCGAAUGUUAAAACCAAAGUUGGGCCUUGCUGGAGGAGUUUUAUUCAAAGCAAACUGUCAAGGGGUUCCCAUAACACCCAACCGCGUAAGGAACGCAAAAUCAAGGAACAUAACACCGGUAUGACGAAAACCAGGGCGGCAAGAGUGGAAUAAAACACCAGGCAUAAGGCCGAGCCUUCCACCCUUUACCAAGUAUACAGAUGCAUUAAAGUAAAUAAGAUAUAUUGUGAUAUCCCAAACAUAUCCAUGUUCCAACAAGGAACAAACUUCAACUUCACCUGCAACUAGCAACGCUAUAAGAGGGGCUGAGCAGAAGUGGUAACAUAGCCAAACAAUGGUUUGCUAGGAAAGAUGGGUUAGAGGCUUGACAUGGCAAUAUGGGAGGCAUGAGAUAGCAAGUGGUAGGUAGCGCGGCAUAGCAAUAGAGCGAACAACUAUCAAGCAAAGAUAGAAGUGAUUUCGAGGGUAUGGUCAUCUUCCCUGAGAUCCUGCAAGGAAAAAGAACGAGUCCAUGAAGAAGACAAACGGGCGUAGUCGAAGGGUCCUCACAACUCCGGAACGAAACCGAAGCUAACGAGAGAAGCAACCCGGAAAGAAGCAGGCAACAUAGUAAACAACCAUCACAUAAGCAUGGCACGAUGCGCAAACAAGUAUGAUGCAUGUCCGGUUAAAAUAUGUAUGACAUGACAAAGUGCACAAACAAUACUACAAAUUAAGUGGAGCUCACUAUGCAACGAGUUGCAUAUUGACGGAACACCAUAUUCAACUUGUUUAGUUCGAUCUCGUUUAUGUACCCAACAAUAUUAAAUGUUGAUUAACACGGCAAGAGGUGGAGCAUAAGUAAACUAAACAUUUAGGCAAGUUUAAAUGAGGUCCGAAAUAAUAAACAACAAUUCCGGUAAAUCCCUAUAUGCAUUUAGCAAUUUGGUGCAACAACAAUUUUAACCAUUUUAAAUGUUUUUAUCAUGAUGCGAAUGACAUGUGCAAGUUUUAUGCAAUAUUUAUGAAAAGGUUGACAUGAUAAGAUAUGAGACAUUUGUCAUAGUGGCGGAAACUAAAGGGGUGCCACGACAACGAAUCCGAAAAUGAUGCCACACAACAUAUCGGUUCCGGAAACUCAUGGAGAUACCGGUGCAAAAGGAAGUAGGUGUGAGUGUGUCCUGCAAGGAUGGUGGGGUGCUCUCAGUAACCGGGUUCCCACGGGUUAGUGGCAAACGAGGAGGACCGAGCAAGUGACAACUCGGACACGGUGCAAACAUAGGGUGCAACUCAUACAACACAUCACAUGCAUGCGGUCCACGGGCGUCGUUUCGGCGGUUAUACCUUCAAAGCAUUCAUCUUCAGAGCGGAUUGGGUUCAAUGGUAACGGAAGUAGUGGUUCUCGAGUCGAAGAGGAAGUAGUCGUUCAUGUCCGUAGAUUUUCGGGGCCAUGACACGGAACUUGACGUCCAUGGGGUCUUCGCGGGUCGACAAUAGUGGUACACGUUUCAUAGCCGUUCGAGUCAUCGGUAGAGGAACUUGACGGAUUUGAAUCCCUUCGGGGUUAUCAUGGUACUUGGGGUCUUCAGACUUGCCGGUCUCACUGAAACGAAGAGGUACUUGGUACAAUCCGCGUAGUCGUGCACUUGUCGUCGAGGGACUUGACAAUCUUGACAAAAUGAAGGGGUACUCGGUAAAACCAUGUUCUUCGGAGGUCAACGGUAGUGGUUCCCGUAUCAACGUGGUGUGGUUGUACUCGACGGGUCCGCGAUACCUAGUGAAAUCCCAAAACGGUCGUCGGUUGUGGAACUUGGCGCCGUUGUAGUUAAUCUUGCCGGCCUUGACGGUACAACACAAAACAACACAAGGGGUCUCGGGAUGCCAGCAACAAGGAGGCGAUGGUGGUGGUCAGCGGCAGGAGAUGGUCCGGCCUCCAUGGACGACCUCCGUCGACGACCAAGGAACCGGCGGCGUGACUGGAGACGGGCCAUGAGGGUCGGGCACGGCACGCGGGAAGAGCUGGGCGAGGGGCGACUGCAGGGAGCGAGCGGCGGCCAUGGCGCUCGGGAAGGCGCUGGGAGGAGAGGGCCAGGCGCGGGGAGGACGAGAGGAGAGGUCGUGGGGAUCGGGCAAAGGGGAGAGGUCGAGGGAUCUCUCGAUCCCUCUGGCGGCGCUAGGAGGGACCGAGGGCGAUCGGCUAGGGUUGAGGGUUUUAGGUGGGCUGGCUUCUGCUGGGCCUCGUGGCCUGCUGGGCUUGAACAGUGAGGCCCAAGGGGCACUGCUGCUAUCUCUCCCUCUUUCUUAAAUAACUUAUUUUCUUUAACAGAAAAGAAAUGAGAGAGAGGAAAAGAAAGAGAGGGUUAGGGAAGGAUUUUGCGCAUGGGGAUAAUUUUCCCGGACUCACAAAAACGUGCAUGGUCUGAGAAAAUUAGAAGUGGCAAGAUCGAACGAUAAGAAUUCAAACUCAUUUGAAUUUAAUUCAAAUGGGUUUGAACUAGGACGAGGUUUUAGAAGUGUCCAAAAAUGUUCGGAUUUUCGGAGGAGCCUCAAUAAAUGGAGAAGGAAUUGUCGGCAAGGUUUCGGGAUCAACUCGAAGUAGAAAAGGCAUGGGGUUAUUUUUGCAAGUGUGUUGUGAUAAAUUCCAAAUUAAAGGAAUAUUUGAUAUAGCUCCCUAAUAUUAGGAUAUAUGUUGUAAAGAGAAAUCACCAGGUGAGUUCCCUCAAUUUAAAUAGAUCAAAGAUCUAUGCAUUUUAUUUAGUUGAGUUUUAGUUAGUUUGAGAAAAAGAUGGCAUGAUGACAUGAUGCAAUGCACAUGAUGCUAUGAAGAAAGCAACAGACAAAUCAAACACACGGCGAAACUCGGAAAACAUGGAAGGCAUCUGAAGCUCCGGUCUUAGGGCGUCACAAUUUUGAACAUGAUUCGAUCAUAACUAGGGUUCAUACUGCAUUAUUCUAAGAUUAAACACCUAAAAUACCUAAAUUAAAUUAACAACAUGGGGUGGCUGCUAUCACCUCGAUCGAGGUCGGAGGGGGUCGGUGACAGGGACGACGGCGGGGAUGAUGUAGGGGCUCCUUGAUUUCUGCAAAAACAAAAUAUAAACAAAAACAUUAUUAUCGUUAUCUUAGGACUUGGUGAAACUCCAUAAGCUACAUUAAAUUAUUCUAUUCAAAUUUACUUAUUCAAAAUUUCUAAAUAUUUCCUAUUCUAUUCAAAAGACCUACAUUUACUUAAUUUUUUCAAUUUCAUAUUUUAUUCUAUUCAAAUUUACUUAUUCAAAAUUUCUAAAAAUUUCCUAUUCUAUUCAAAAGACCUACAUUUACUUAUUCUUUUCAAAUUACUUAUUCAAAUUUUCUAAAAACAAAAUAUACUAAAAACCUACAUUUACUAAAAAUAAAAACCUACAUUUAACAAAAAAAGCCUAUUUACCGAAAGGGGGAGGAGGAGGUGGGAGGAGGCCAGGNNNNNNNNNNNNNNNNNNNNNNNNNNNNNNNNNNNNNNNNNNNNNNNNNNNNNNNNNNNNNNNNNNNNNNNNNNNNNNNNNNNNNNNNNNNNNNNNNNNNNNNNNNNNNNNNNNNNNNNNNNNNNNNNNNNNNNNNNNNNNNNNNNNNNNNNNNNNNNNNNNNNNNNNNNNNNNNNNNNNNNNNNNNNNNNNNNNNNNNNNNNNNNNNNNNNNNNNNNNNNNNNNNNNNNNNNNNNNNNNNNNNNNNNNNNNNNNNNNNNNNNNNNNNNNNNNNNNNNNNNNNNNNNNNNNNNNNNNNNNNNNNNNNNNNNNNNNNNNNNNNNNNNNNNNNNNNNNNNNNNNNNNNNNNNNNNNNNNNNNNNNNNNNNNNNNNNNNNNNNNNNNNNNNNNNNNNNNNNNNNNNNNNNNNNNNNNNNNNNNNNNNNNNNNNNNNNNNNNGAUCGGAGGGGGGCGCCGGUGGAGAGGGAGGAGAGAGGAGGGUCGUGGGAAGAGGGAGAGAGGAGGGCGGCGAGAUGAGGAGGAGGGAGGGAGGGAGGGGAGGGCGGCGAGAGGAGGAGGGAGAUACCUUGGGGGAGUCGGCGGCGACAGGUGUGCGGCGAGUGAGUGUGUGAGGGAGAGUGAGGGGCGCGCGCGGGGUGGAUAAGGUAAGCAUAGUCGUAGCGCUUUUUACAGAUAAGCGCUACUGCUAUUUAGCAGUAGCGCUUGUCAGAAGACAGCGCUAUUGCUAUGUGUAAUAGCCGUAGCGUUUUUUAAAUACCAGCGCUACUAGUAUACCUACACUGCCAUGCAACCGUUGGCAACUAUAAUAGUAGCGUUAUUAUAACACAAGCGCUACUGCUACAUGAAUAGUAGCAGCGCUUUUCAGUGAUAAGCGCUACUGUUAUUUAGAAACAUCGCUUUUUUAUAAAAAAACGUUACUACUAAACUUCUGUGUAUAAACAUUUUCCUGGUAGCAGUUUCCAAAAUUGCAGCAUUAGUAUGCUCUUUAACAAAACAAAACAAAAUCUGAAGUAGAGGAGCCCUUGAAGAGUGCUGAUUCAGUGAAUAGUUGGUGCAAACGGUUCUGCCGGAAUCAAUUUCAAAGGCAUUUCAUCAAUUAUCGACACAGAGAAGUAAUUACAAGCAACUAAUUCCUCAUCCAAGAACACAUUUAUACACGUACCGUCUUCAGCUAGCAGUGUUUCUGCAGUUUACAGCCGGCCAAAUCAAACGGGCAAACAGGGACAGGGCAGGGCAGCACUGAAGAAAGAAAAAACCCAUCUUGACCUGGAGUACUGUAUGAGACAGCUAGGCGGCGUACACGUGCACGCCGAUGGCGACGACGACGAGGGUGAGGAUGCAGAAGAAGAUGACGGCGUGGACGAGGAUGGCGAUGGCGCUGGUGGCCAUGUUGCCGAGCUCCACCACCCUGGUCCUGGCCGGCAGCUGGAACAGCAGCCCCGGCGACAGCACCACGAAGAGGAUCACCGCCACGAUGAUCGGGCCCCAGUCCGUGCUCGGGUGCGGCGCCCCCUCCGCCGUGCCCCCGAUGCCCCCGUUCAUGGCUGUCGAUCCUCUCGCCACCGGCCUCCAGGCUCCAGCUACCAAACUGUACACGUGCUCUGAUCUGACCUGUGCGUGCGUGUGUAUGGUAUGGACUCACCGGCCGACGAGUUUGGUAGAACGAUGGGGGUAGACGAAGGAGCGGCGCAUAUGUAGCGAGGUUGCUUGGCGGUGGCUGCGUCGGCGAGGGGGAAGGAAGGAAUGCAUACUCUGCUUGCGGGCUAAGGAAGGGUACAAGAACUGAACAGAGUACGUACUGCCGUGUCGCCGCUUUUGUGUGGCUUUACAGUGUGAGAGGGGGCUCCAGCCUCCAGCUAGGGCCGAAAGCAAGAGGAAGGCUGGAGAAGCCAGUAGCGAAAAGAAGCCGAGCGGAGAAAAGCCAAAGGCGACGCGUUUUGCGGUGGCCGCACUGCAGCUGAUGCUUUCCCGUCUUCUCCGGUUCUUCUUGCUCCCGUUUUCCUACUGCGGCCUUUUACAGAUGCUGCAUUGCUUGCUUGCCGCAAGACAAGAGGGUAGAUGCCCCGACACCCAUUGUGACUCUAUAAGUCUAGUUAACGCGGAUCACGAUUUGAAUGAGUAAAGUUUUUAUAUACGAGUAAAAUAGAAGGUUAAGUUUGUUUUAGAAAAGUUCCAGAAUUGUUUUUGGUCUUUUUUUUCCGUAUGUAUGAGCGUCUGCGUCUGUACUGUGUUCAAAAAACAAGUUUCAGAAUUGUUUUGGCCUUUCUUUUGCAACUAGUAAAUUACGUUUUCAUACCAGUUGCAUAUACACCCGAAAGCCAAAUGUGAUUGUCCGUGUAUUAUUGGAUUCACAUUAGAAACAUACAUGCCUUAUAAACAAAAAGGGAAUGAGUAGCUCUUUAGUUAUGCGACCUUUUAUGUUCACGCAUAUAUAGAAAAAGGACAUAUGACAUUCUCAUGUCUAAGGACAGAUCAUGCACAUUGUACAUAUUGUGGAAACAACAACAAAGUAGGAGUAACUCAUCGUUUAUACUUACAACAAAGCUAGCAGGGUGUGUAGGAGGGCAUUGUAGCAACGGUGAUUGUUAAAUGACAAAAUUAACGCAUUAACAUUUUUUUUAAAAAGGUUCAAUCAUCCCGUGGAGAGUAGAAAUUGACUCACGUGUGAGAAGAGGCCUUGAAAGAAGAGAUUGGCUUACGUUGCGUCACGCUUCCGAAGCUUCCCUUCCAGAUAAUCUGAGCCUUACAAGGUCCCUUGAUCAGAUCCCAAUACCCAGCUCCAGCCCCAAGUCUUGCGAACCAACCUGUGGUUGGAUGGUUAGAGGGACUGUGGUAUCCCUAGCCCACCAGGGUUCAAGUCCUGAUGCUCGCAUUUAUUUAUAUAUUUAUUUCAGGAUUUCCGGCGAUGCGCAUUCAGUGGGAGGAAACAUUCCCGUCGACGAUGAGGUGCCUACACUGACUUCGUAAAUUUCAAAAUGAUAUGCCAUCUCAGUCUUUUGGAGGUGCUCAUUGGGGUAGGGUAUGCGUAUGUGCGUUUAUAGGGAUGAGUGUAUGAGCGUGUAUAUGAGCGCUUGUGUCUGUACUAUGUUAAAAAAAAAGCUCCAGCCCCCAAGUCUUGUUGAGAGUACACAAAAUGCCGAGACAAGGGAAGCUUCGGAAGAGGGAUCCCGAUACCCAGCCUCUCAGGACCGAUCUACCCUUCAGGUGGUAGGUGUGAUGAUUCAUGGCCCAUGAAUCCAUAGCGGAGUAGGAGGAGUGGUGUAUGGUCUCUAUAGUGAACUAAAACAUCCAUCUUUCCUCUCACUGGGCUCUGGUCUUUUAGCCUUUUAUUUUAGCUUCUUCCUUUUGACUUAUUGAUCAUGCUUGGAACUUUCGUUGACUUGACUUGAUUUGGAUUAUUUAUCAUGUGGAUGCCAUGUAAGACUAGGUGGAACCUGAGAUAGGAUUAGUUAUUCCCACAAUGGCGAUCUACCGAUUACGGUACGACUAUAAGUUAGAGAGGUAAAAGUGCAUCUAUUAUUUUUCUAAGGAGGGUUUUUAUUAUUAAUGUCAAAAUCAUUAAGGGGAUAAUGUAUACUAACGGUGGCCAUAUGUUUACUCCUAAAAAGUGGUUUAAAAAAUGCUUAUGACCCCUAAUGUUCUAAAAGACAACUUUAAGUAGUGAGAGAUGAUUAAUUACCGACAUUGUUAUUUUUUUGUUCACUUUUUCUACUGGACAGCUGGCUGAAAAAAGGUUUGGUCAUUUUCUUCUUAUUUUUUUUCAUGUGUGCUUGUUGUUGCUGAGUUUUUGUGUGUCUUUUAUCCCUUUUAUCCUUAUGUGUGGACAUGGGUCUGUGUAAGUAUAAACACAAGUAUUAUAGAAUAUGUGUCAAAACUCUACUAAAGUGUGAGAAUUGUACUAUUAUAUUCUUAUUUUUGCAUAUCAUAAGAAAGUGAAAUUUUCGUGCAAGCUUUAUCUUUUUUUCUUUAGUUUUUCUUUCUUCUUUGAUGACAAUAAUAAUCCAUUAACUUCAUUUUUAUUUUGUUUUAGUUUUUAUUUUAGUUUUUGUUUAGGGGAAGAAGAAGACAACUGAGCCUUUCGAUCUCGCUCAAAUAGUGGAGAGCGAUUUGACUGAAACCAGAAAAGGUUUUACGUGCAUGUUUAAUAGUUGGCCAUUUUUUGUUUAACACUGAAUUUAAAACAUGGACGCACACAUGCAAGUUCUAUGCAAUUUUUGUGUAAAUCAUGUUUCUGUAUGAAAGUUACACAGCUAUAUGGUUUUUCUUGCAUAUCGGGGAAUCGUGUAAGUUCAGUGUAAUAUGUGCGCAAUUUUUAAGCUAUUAUUUUAUUUUGUUUAUAUUAAGGGUAAUACGAAUGGGACUAAUUCAUUUUUUCUUAGAAAACUUCUGUUUCGUGAAAAUUCCAUCAUUAUAUGCUUAUUCUUGCAUAUUUUUUUAAAGCACAAUUUUUGUGUAAAUUGUGUGCAAUUUUUUUCUUAAAGGGUAAUACCAAUGCAACUAAUCAUUCUUCCAUAGAAAACCUCAUUGUUUUGAUUUUUUCUUUAGUUUUUAUUUUAUUUCUUCCUAAAGGGUAGUGCCAAAACUACUAAUUCAUUCUUUUUUAGAAAUCUGAGUUAUUUUCAUUUUUAAGUUUUUAUUUGAUUUCUUUCUUCUUAAAGGUUAAUACCAGUAUCAUUAAUUCAUUCUUUCUUAGAAAACUUCAUUAAUUUGAUUUUCUUUUACUUUUUGUUCCAUUUUUAUUUCUUAUGGGGUAAUACCAAUGUCACUAAUUCAUUCUUUCAUAAAAAGUUCAUUAUUCUUAUUUGAUUUAGUUUAAUUUGAAUAUUUUCUUCUUCAACGGCAAUAGUAAUGUCUCUAGUUCACCCCUUCCUAGAAAACUUCCCUUUUAAUCAAAAUUCCACUAUGUAAAUUGUGGGCAAUUUUUUUAUUUUUUUAUAACUUUUUCCAUAUUUGUUUUCUUCCUAAAAAGUAAUACCAAUGCCACUAAUUCAUUACCCCAUGGAAUACUUUCUUAUUUUAUAUUUUUAGUUUUAAUUUUAUUUUCUUUAUUAUUUAAUUAUAAUACCAAUGCCCCUAAUUCAUUCUUUUAUCAUGAAACUUUUGUUCUACAAAAUUUCCACUAGUAUAUGUUUAUUAUUGAAUAUUAUAAUUAAAUAAGGAAAAAUGUGUGGCAUUGAUACUACCCUUUAAGAAGAAAGGAAAUGGAAAAUAAUUAAAACAAACAAAAGAAAAAAAAUUGUGGAAAUUUUUCCGUAGAAAUCGUCAUUUUUUGUUUAGUUUUAUUUUUUCUUUACUCUUUAAUGUGAUACCACCCAAAGUAUGAGAAUUUCAAUUGAUUGGCCCUUUUUCUUCUUUUUAUUAUCGGGUUAACAAUUCACAAUAAUUUAUACCAUGGCAACUAAAAAAAUUAAUAUCAAUAGUAAAAUGUGAAUUGCCGUAAUAAUUGGCAAAUAUUAAUAUGGUAUUUCUAUCGUAAGAGGGUAUUCCGAUAAUUUAAUUUCCUAAGAUUAUCUCGUGAAACAAAUAAUUUUAUUUCCAAUAAUUUAAUUUCUCUAUAGCAGGCGCAUGUAAAGCACACUAACUAGCAUAAACACGAAGCAGGGCCGAUGUAUUUAUCUAUAACAUCGGUGAUGUAGUCACCUAGUCUGGGCCUGCCUUGCGUCGUGAUAGAUCAACUGUGCCAAUCCCAUGUGUUGUGCUUGUUUCCCAAAAAAAAUCAGACAUAUUUUUAAUUCGUGGGCAUUUUCAAGUUAAUGCUUAUUUUUUACUCCACACUCAAUUUUGUGAACAAUUUAUGAAUCCCCGAACAUAAUUUCGAAUACACAAACAAUUUUUAUAUUAAUGGUUUUUUGAAUUCGCAAACAUUUUUUUGAUCUAUGAACUUUUAUUGAAUUUGUGAAGAUUUGUUGAAUUGAUGAACAUAUUUAGAUUUCGUGAUUUUUUUUGUAAAUUCAUUAACAUUUUUUGAAUCUGCGAAUACUUGUUGAAAUUAGUGAAAUUUUUAAAUAAAAAACUGACUGAAAGAGAAAAGACCACAUGAAGAAACAAAUCGAAAGAAAAAAAAGCCAGCUCGCCGGGAUCCUCGCGCCCAUCAUGGCACACUGUAUUUUUUAGUCAAAAAAAUGAGAGCAGUGUGCCGUACAUGCUUGCUCGCUGGGCCGGCCUGCCUGACGAGGUUGAGAGCAAACUGAGUGAAACAAAUUUACAGUCAGUCUACUGACCCAAAUUUUGUGUUCAGUCAAGUGAUCUCUAACCGGUACCAUUUCUUAAAGAAGAUAGUCGAUUGCUCAGAAAAUGUCGAAGCAGGCUCCCUUCACUAGUUCCCUGGCUAGAUGGAGACAUUCACCAAGAAUCAAAAACCACCGCGGCCAUACCAGAUACCACCGGGCAUUGACCGCCCUGUCGCACAAUCCGAAUCACUCCGUCGAGUCCGAAUGGACGACCAUUCUGUUCCACCUCACCCGAAUUGGUAGAGAAUCAAGAGGCUAUGGGAGAGAGCUGGGGCUUCAGCCGAUAUUGCUAACAUCAGCAACAACAACAAGUUUCAGGCACCGCGUUGAUCCAGUUAGGCUGUCCACAUCAAACCCCCGCGUGAACAUGUGGAGAACGCGUGGUACAUUUUGUGUCUUCUCUCCCAAGAAAGAAGGACACGGUCAGGCCUUGCUUCAUGGAGAAGGCUUCGUCUGAAGUUCUGAUUGCGUCUCGGCGUCUCCAGGAGUUCUUCCCUGCUUCAUCAUUUAGGAGCGAUCCUCUUAACCCUCUUCUGCAGAUCGAAGAAGGCAACCGAUCGGGAAGAUGAGCAGCUGGUCGUCGUCCGUCGAGAAGAUGAAGAGGUGGAUGGUGAUGCCCGCGGCCGCGGGAGUGGAGGCGAAGCUGCUGUGCGUAGUCUGCAGCGUCCCGCGCCCGGAAGAUCCACCCGUGCAGGGAGAUUAUGUGGAACAACGUGUGCACCACAGCAUCAAGCGCCUUGGUUACGGUUAGUUUCUCUUGUCACCGCGCCUUCAAUUUUUGUUCAAUUUCUUUCUGCGAGGGAUUUUUGUUCACUUAUUUUCUCCUCUAAAUAUCGUUUUUUCAGUUCUUGAUGCUAAAUAGUUCUACUUACAUAGUACUUCUGCAGAAGGAAGGAAUGAUACGUAGGUAUGGAUACAUAUGGCUGGCUAUCUAGAAACUUUUUUUUGUUGUUGUUGUUGGUGUAAUUUCCUAACAUCACUCUCAGUCUCACCUUAAACCCGUUCAACCAAACCGCGUCUCCGAAAACUCCAAUCUGUCAUGAACCCCAGACCCAAAUUGCAACUGCGAGAUGUUUUUCUGUUGUUGAUUGAGAAAAGUCUUUUAUGUUUUAUGGUCGACAUCAGUUCGAUCUCAUCCAAUCCCAAUCCCAUUUCUAACGGUUAUCAACCUUUGGCGAUCGAGAUUUUCUUUUAUAGAGAAGAAAAUAUCACCUAGGGCGCAGCCGUUCGGUGGUGAUCGCCUACUUGAUCGAGCUCAGACACCGCUCUAGCGACUUAGUCGACGACAAGCCGCUGGCACGGCGACUCGCGAGGCCGUCACGAUGUUGGCGUGGUCGCGUGGAGACCGUGUGUGCGUAUCAAGGUCAACCCUCCUUUUUCAUCCAUGACAACUCUCCGUAUAUACCGUCCCAAAAGCCUUACAAAUCGCUUAGCAAGAGCUAAUUUAUGAUGAGUGUUUUUUUAGAGAAAACACCUGUAUUUUCACGCAAAAUACUAGAAUGAUCAUGGGUCCUGGUAUACCUAAUUUUAUAACUUAGCACGUAUUUAAUUUAAUUUUUUAAAAAUAACGCAUAUCGCCAUCGGAAUAAAACUUACCCAUGUAAAUUAUACAAAAUAAUUGAUGAUUUGCAGAUUUUGGUGACCUGGAUCUAGGAGCACCCGCUAAAGCAUUCUAAUUUUUAAAAGUAGCAAAAAAAAUAACAAUUCUGAAACUUUUCUGUAGCGACACGGUCAAGUGUUCUUCUCAUGUAUGAAGUUUCACAAAGAAAUGACUUCCGUGUUCUUCUGGAUGAAUAAACCAAAAUUGCAACUUCAAAAAGCUUUGAUAGUAUUGUUUAUAUAUUACCAUUUUUUUCCACACAAAAGACCACGGGAGUCAUUCCUUCACGAAACUUUAUACGUGAGUAUAACACUAGACCUUGUUGGUAAAAAAAGGUUUCAUAUUUCUUUGAUUGUUCUAUUAGGUAUUUUUGGAUUUUCUACAUGCAUGAAAAUGAGGAAAUUAGAAUGCUAACCAGUAGCACUAUUAUUUUCUAACUUUUACCCAUCUCACCAAUAAUCAUAUUAUUCAACAAACAUUUCCAUGAGAAAGUGUCAAGGUUUUUUAAUGGGUCAUUAUUUGUCGGAGCCAACUCACAUUAGGCAUGAUUGCAUUUCCAUGGAAUUUGCCUCCAUAUCUUUACUAUUAAAAGGUAGUUGGUGUUUGUACGCCAUGAAAUGUGGUUUUGCCUCCAUAUCUUUGCAUGAAAAUGAGGAAAACUUCAUCUGAAUACGAAACCAACAAUAUUUUUUUUGCAUAUCAUUUAUAUUUUGCAAAUCAAAUUUACUGUCAACAAAAGUUGCAAAAUACAAGGGAACCUAAUAAACUCGGACUGAGGUAGUACAAAAAAUUCAACUAAAUCAAAACUUACCUUCUCUGCCCCUACCAUACCCAAAUGAAAUCAAAUCUUACCAAAAAACUGAACCAAAUAAAAAAAAUCUUGCCUUCCCUUACCCACACUCAAAUCAAAUCAUACCAAUAUCUAGAAUAUGGUGGGUGUAAUGUACAUAUAUUGGACAUGAUUGAUACUGAACCACUAGAAUAUGUAUGCCCCAGUGCUAGUAUAUCUUAAUGUCUGGUACAUAUAAUGAGUAAUGUUAAUACAAAUUAAACUUACCUUUCCUAUUCUGGAUUGUAUUCGAUUGACCAUGAUCGUUGAUGACACUGCAAGAAGGGAUCUAAUGUAAUUAAUGUAUCUUUGAUCAUGCUCAUAUUUUUAUUUGUAAUAAGUGGACUCCAAUACCUUAUCCUCUUUCCCCACCUUGACUUGUUCAUAUAGGAUAUCCGAAAGAUGCCAGCAAAAUCUUGGUAAAGUAAUUUGAUUGUUGGUAGAUAAGCAGUGGCAUUCUAACAAUCCCAUUGGUGACAAUUGGAGAAAGGAGAACAUCAAUCAUGUAUACAAUCUCGUUACACACUUGUCUACGAUUAAUAGUAUCUUAACUUCAUCAAUCCUUUAUCACCAAUAUCUGCUUGUGCCUCGUUCCUUAUGUCUUUUUUUUGUGUGAUUUUUUUUCAUGUGAUUUACGGAGUUCCUAAAUUUACUACCUUCAUGCACUUAAUUGUUCCAAGCCACUAUUAUUCAUGAGCCCAUCCAAAACCACUCGAGAAAUGUUGAAUGUGGAUAGAAUUGUUUAUUUUCAUAUAACGAUCUUCCUAUUGCUAGUGACAUAUCAACAUCGUUGCCAUGCAUCAUGCUCACAUACAUGAAAAAGAUCACGACACUAUGAUAAAUUAAGUCGACGGUCUUUGGCGUAAGAGCCAAUUUUGCGGAAUUGUGCUAUGAUGAGUUUUUCUUAUGAGCUUAGCAUCAUGUUUGGAAAACUCGGUUAAUAAUUAACAAAUUUUGACAGUAAAAACAUGUUUCUCUAGUGGCAAGAAUAAGAUUAUAUGUCAAUUUCUACUGAUUAUUCUAUGAUCAUAUCGCCAGCAGAAAAAUAUUCAAACAAUUUAACCAACCAAAAUUACCAUGACCCAAUAAAAUGUCAAAUGCAGCUAAAAGUGUAAGUUGGUCACUUGAUUAUCCUUAGUGUCUAGAGAAAAUAUAAUAUAUCUUGCAGAAGACUUCACUGUUUUUUUUCUCAAUAAUUUUGGAGCAUAUAACUCAACAUCCUUUCUAUUAAUAUUUUUCCAGCACAUAUUCUCCUCUUUGCUUAAUAAAGAAUCUGAACAUUGCUCAUAAUAUAGUUGAUUCUGACUACGUCUUCGUGUAUAUCCUCUCCAUAGAUUGUAUUUGCACCAAUGGUUACAAGCCAUGAACCUACUAAUGCUGCCUAAGUUUUGUCUAUCUUGACAUUUUAUUUUGCUAAAUAAUCUCUUCAAGGACCCGCCUUAUAUUUUUCUUAAAUGGGAGUGGUUGUUUCCACUUAAGCACUAAAGAAAUGUACAAGGCGGAAUUUAUUCGUCAAUUUUAGAUGUCAAAAUAAGUUGCUACACAUGAUGGGGGUAAUUUUUUUGUUCUAUCCAUUAGGGCCUUUCAUUUAUGUAAAAGAAAAAAAAACAAAGAUGGGAGUGUUAGUUUCAUAUGUAGGGGAGAUGAGUCAUCUAGAUUACUUCACUUACUGAACUGUGCACCACCGUGAGCCUACAUGUCGGUAAAGGAUGAUCUUUGAUCCCCAUUGGUUGCAUACAUGUUCGUUAACUGAAAUAAUUUGGAAGAUUCAUUUCCAAGAAUAAUUGGCUCAUAUAAAUAACUUCUUGUUGUGCAGCUUGCAUUGCCCUGAAGGAUUUUUCUAAACUCAAGAUGAUGCAUGACGUCGACUGGAAUGAGAAGCAUAGGCUUAUUUUCCGGCACAAAAAAGUGAUAAUUGUAUUCUCUUAACUGUAAAUAAAUUGUGAGUGUCACACAUGAAAUCCUUAGGUUAUUUUAUUUCUGAAUUUGAACUUCCAAUAGUGAAUCUGAAAAGGAAUAGUGCUCUUGUAAUAAGUUUAAAUUUGGAGUAUGAAACUGUUAAUUGGUACCGCCUGUCAAUGGUAUAUGCUGAGUUCCUGACGGGUGUUGGAUUAUUCGUUGUGUCCUUUUGAUCAUUGCAGAAAAAUGCCUACGCAUUGCUGUAUUCGGGAGACUAUUCCGAUGCCGCCAAAAAUGCAAUGAAGAAUAGUUUUGAAACGAAGAUAUCUCACAUAGUGGAUAUCAGCUACCGCAGGUUGGCAUCCUUGUUAUAUUUCUAGGACAUGCACGCAUUCAAUUGUUCAAGCAUGCACGUUCUCGCUACUCGUCUUCAACAAAUAUGAAUGCUUAAGACUGGAUGUUUCUUGUCUAGUACAUUUGUUUGUGUUGUUAAGAAUGGCUAUAAUUUAAUAAGCUCAUUGCUAAUUUACUGGGUUUGCAGCUUUUCAGGUAAGAGCGAUGUUGUGAAAUUUUUGACGGUCAAGGGAGCUAAGCCUGACGGGCGACAUCUGUCGUGCGACUUCGUCGAUGUACACCAUGUAGAAACAAUGCUCAGUAGUUACUUGUGCUGUUAAAUUAGAUAUGAUGAAGGCCUACGAUCGAGUUGAGUGGCAUUUUCUUGAGGCCAUUCUAACAAGGCUAGGGUUCAACAUGAUCUUUACUCGUUUGAUAAUGAAGUGUGUUACUUCAGUCAGGUUCUCAAUUCGGUUUAAUGGAGAGCUUCAGCCUUUUUUCACACCCUCACGUGGAUUUAGGCAAGGAGAUCCACUGUCUCCAUAUCUCUUUUUGAUAUGUGCAGAAGGCUUCUCUUCGCUGCUAAAGUCUCAUAUUGGAGGACAUAUCGAUAGAGGUAUUCGAGUAAGUUACAAAUCACCUUGGGUGUCACAUUUACUGUUUGCAGAUGAUAGUUUGAUUUUCAUCAGUGCAACUAAUCAAAGUGCUAUUCGAUUGAAUGAGAUUCUCAGAAUUUAUAGUGAUGCUUCUGGACAGUGUGUCAAUCGCGACAAAAGUUCUAUCUAUUUUAGCUCUAACACACCAGCACACUUGAGACAGCAGCUAAAAGCAGUCCUGAACAUUUCUGUGGAGGCAUUUAGCGAGCGAUAUUUGGGGCUGCCAACUGCUGUUGGGCGGAUUAACAGUGGCACUUUCGAUCACAUCGGGGAGAGGGCACGGAGCAAGAUGCAGGGAUGGUCCGAAAAGCUGAUGGCUUGUGCCGGGAGGGAAACCUUGCUAAAGUCGGUGGUUCAAGCCAUUCCAACUUACUCGAUGAGUACUUUUUUGCUCACUAAGAAAGUCUGUAAGAGUCUUACUUCUCCGAUGGCAAAAUAUUUCUGGAGUAGUUCUCUUGACAAGAAUGGGAUGCAUUGGGUGUCGUGGAAGAAUCUAGCAACACCCAAGUGCAAAGGAGGUAUGGGUUUUCGAGACCCUCAUCAGUUUAACCUUGCGCUACUCGGAAAGCACGGAUGGAGGUUCUUAACUAAUCCGAGCUCUCUUUGUUCAAGGGUUUUAAAAGGCCGCUACUUUCCUGACAUAGAUUUUAUGCAUGCAACUUGCCCCAAGUCUGCUUCUGCAACUUGGAGGGCGAUAAUAGCCGGCAGGGAAGCUUUGAAGGCGGGGUUGAUUAAAAGAGUGGGAGAUGGAUCCUCCAUUGAUGCGUGGACAGAUAAGUGGAUCCCGGGCACAAUUUCUAUGUCGCCCAUGAUGAAACCGGCGUCUGCUACAAUCCACAUGGUGUCAGAUCUCAUUGAUCCGGACAACUGGUCCUGGCGACACGAGCUAGUUAGAUCAAACUUCAUUGCCCCGGAUGCAGAUGCGAUCCUCAACAUACCAAUCCGGCGUGGGGGUGGUGAUGAUUUCUUUGCUUGGGCCUUUGAGACUUCAGGCAACUACACAGUUAAAUCGGCGUACCGUGCUCUAAUGAUUCAGAACGAGCGUCUUGCUCUAGGAGAAGGGACGGAUACCGGAGCUUCAAGAGAUGAAUCACAACUGUGGAGUGCUCUAUGGAAACUCAAAGUUAUCCCAAAAGUUCGUGUGUUUUGGUGGCGUGUACUUCGACGGAUUCUACCGGAUGAGUGCACACUUAAACACCGUCAUAUUGCAGUCAUCGACAGAUGCAAUGUUUGCUUGUCCAAGGAGGAAGAUCUUAUGCAUGCUCUUAUUCACUGUACUCAUGCACAACGCUUCUGGAAUGAAGCUUUUGCUUGGUUUGGCAUCAUAUUACCGCCAUUACAUCCGGAUUCUUGGUCACGGGAUAUUCUAUGUGAUACGCGGUUUCCUGAGGAUGACCGACCAAAGAUCAUCACAAUCAUGUGGACGAUUUGGCAUUCUCGCAAUCGCAUUAAACAUGGAGAAGUAGGCAGGGACCCGCCAGCAGCUAUUCGAGCCACUAGGGAAGCCCUAGCCCUACUGGAGAUGCCACGCAACACACAAACAGUUCUCCCCGGCUAUGGGUGGAGACCACCAGAACAAGGCGUGAUCAAGAUUACCACUGAUGGUGCACUGAACCUUGCAGAUGGUGUGGGCGGUGCAGGUGGCGUCGCUCGUUCCUUCGAUGCAUUAUUGGGGGCUUGGUGCAAACCAGUUGUGGGUAUUUCGGACCCACUAAUUGUUGAAGCUUUCGCUAUGCGAGAAGGAGCCCGCUUUGCUGCACUUCGAGGGCUAUCGCAUGUUAUAAUGGAAGUGGAUUGCCUGGAGUUGGUGACACUCUGGAACACUCGUCACAAUUCUUGCUCGAUUGUGGCACCGAUCUUGGAAGAAAUAGGAGAGCUAGUAGUUAAUUUUCCUUUAUUUGUGAUUCAGCAUGUAAAUCGGUCGGCAAACUUACCGGCACACCUUUGUGCUAAGCGAGCUUGCACUCUGAGUGUGACCGAAAGUUGGCUCGACAAGACCCCGAGUUUCCUGGUUUCAAGCCUGCUGGCUGAUUGUCCAAGGAGCUCUUUUGUUGAAUAAAGCUCUCUGAUUUGAUCGCAAAAAAAAAACAAGACGUCUCAUGGUGCCGGAGGAAAUGCUGCCAGGAUUGAACCAAGUGCGGAUGAGGUCUAGCCGUCUAGACGUGAGAGUGGAUUUUCCAUAACUAGAUGACCAGUUGCGCCAAAUGGCGCAAAGAUCCGUUUAAAACCAUGUUCGUGUUGAAAUAUUUGCAUUUUUUCAAUAACCAUAUAUUCGAGUACAUUUGGUAAGAACUUAUACCCCUAUAUAUAAAGAAAAUUAAAUGUAAUAUUUUCUAAGGUAAUAAUGCCACAAAUUAGAUCAUCGGUAGGUCAAGAUAGUUGAGCCUACAAUUGGGAACACCGAGUAGUUGUAAACUUGCAUUAAAAAAGAGUAAAAACAAGUGACACAAUAAAAUGUAUUUAAUACAUGAACUCGUGAACAUUACCUGGGGCGGUGAAGUUAGGGUCUUUCGUCAUGUGACGAGUGGUGUCAGGUGCUUCAGAUCUAUGCAAGGGUUCAACAAUGAUGACUGCAACUCCAAGGCACUGGUCCUUAGGGGCACGUGCACGAAACUUUUUGACUAUCAUCGACCAGGUGAAGCCGGCUCCGGUAGGGAAGCGACGACAGCGGCGCAUCAACAACAUAGUGUAUGCAGUGGUUUUGGAAUCUCAAUGUAUUUUUUAUUAUGUUUUAUAUGCUUUGUAUUUCCAGUGAACAUUGAUAAUAGAUCUAAAUCAUUUUCGGGAAAACAAUUAAGGGGUAAGAUUUUGACCAGUCGUCACGCUUGUUUCUGUGAAUAAAACCUUCCAGAUAAUAUAGACCCUUAAAAAAGAAAAACUACCUGACAAUAGAUUUUUUGAGGGAUUUCCCUGGCAAUAGAAUUUUUGUGCAGAAAACCCUGGCAAUAGAUGGUUGGGACCUGGAAGCACUCAGAAAUGUAUUUUCCUGGUGGGUCACAGUGUUCACGGGUGGACGGGUGGACCUGUGGGCAACAACAUUCACAGAAAGCAAUAGCAGCGUGUCUGGUGUGUGAAGCCUCCCGCUGGUCCAAACCACGCGUGUCUGGUGUGUGUGGGUUUGCCUGUGCGCGUGUCCUCCCACCGGUUAGCCACUCAGCGCAGCUCUGGACAGAGGAGAUUGGUGAUUUGGGUGGUGCCGGGUACGCCUCGGCUCCUUGCAGUGGUUGUAGGAUUGCCGCCGUCGUGAUGUUCCGGCUAUCGGUGCUGCUUCCCACGACUGCUUCUUGGGGCGCUGCUUCCUCGUCCAUAUGAUCUGCGCCACUGUUGUUCAGGUCAUCCGUCUCUCCCUCCCGUCUGCUCGAUUUGCUGCUCUUCCCUGAUCUGGUUUGUAUUGUUUCAUCUGGUAUUGGAUUUGUUGUUUGCUAUCUUGGGCUGGAUUCAGUAUGGUGUUUCUCGAGCAUUGAAGUCAUUGGAUUGGGCUCUGGUUUUCGUAGAGAUGCCGCUUUCGUGCUUCAAUUGUUGUGGAGGGCGCCAUGCACUACAGAGGAUGAGAGUGGCUGAUUUUUGUGGAUUGAUGCUUCCCUUCAAGUUUAACUUGCUGCUUCAAUUGCCAACUUUGACAGGAGGAGAUUGAUAGGUGCACCCACCGCAUAGAGCCGAAGGAAGUGUGUCAAUCCAGCAAUACAUGGAGCCGACCAACAACCAGGGACGCAUCCACCAUUGUCUUACCUGCUCUAAGCACACAGUCAAUUUUGUUUCAGAUGGAAUGCAUUCAACAUAUAUGGUGGAAGAGAGCUGCCCCCAGGCCCUCACUACUGAACAAGCACGCCCACAACAAGGACAUGGAGAUAUUCAUCACAUGGGUAAUCAACUUCAACUUUACCACCUACAUUACCAUGAUCUCACUGCUUGCUAGAUCCAGUAUACCGACAGUGAGUCACCAACCAUAUAACCAUUAAACUGCAUGCAAUUUCUGUUUUCAAAAUACUUGCCCAAAUAAUGGCUGCAUUGUCAGCUCGCCAUCACUUUAAAACAUGAGCUGCCACAGUUCUCCUUUCCUCACACCACAUAUCUUUACGCAAUGCAAUAAAAGAGUGGCAGUCUCAUGACUUGUUUUGAAAUUGAUUGAGUAAAAAAUGACACCUUGAUGCGUGCGCUUGCCAGAGAAGUGCAUCCAGUAUUUACCUACUUGAGGUGAUCACAUACACAAAAUUAAAAUGCAAUGAUCACAUCACAGACUAUAAUUUGUUUUCUUAAUUUAUACACACUGUACACCCACUUUUCCAAAUCGGCUUUACCAUAUCACCAUAUAUCCAACCUUAGGUGCAACACGCAACCUACAAUUGAACCGAUAGUUCAAUAAGGACGAACAUUUAGCACAAAGGAAGAUGCACUUUAAAAAAAACUUCCAAUGAACACAGAAAAAAUCGAUGCUCGAGUGAGUGCCAAUAUCAUCUAAAAAUAUGCAAUAUAAUUAUAAGAGGUCAAGCCAGUCAAGUGAAAGACGUCUGCAACUAUAGAACAACACAUUAGCAAACUUGAGAGCAACAGAAUUACAAUUAGUACAGUUUUCAGGGCAACACACAAGAAACUACAUGACUAUCACUAAGUGAGGAGUGGGUGGCUCCAAGAACUGGAAUUAGACAAAUUAUACAUCAUCAAUCAUUAGGAGCUGGACCCAAUAGAAUCUUGUCUCCUGGUCUGCAAGCCAAAAAAACUGCAGGAAGACUUUCAACACAUAUGCAGCAAGAACACCAUGGCAAUGGUAAUAGAUGAUUGAGCGCAUUGUGAAUAAUGGGGCGACCUCACCUCAAGUAGAUCGCGUUAGAAUAAAAACAACACGACAGUGGCGAUGGUACUUGUUGAGCUUUACGUCGAGCCUUCGAGGCAGUCUAGAAGUGAUGGCCGACGUGAUUCGCCCUUGCAAGAAAAUUAGGAGAGGCCAUUACCAAACUCGAUACAUACUUUCAUUUUAUAUGUUACCUAGGAAGCAAUUAGAUCAAAUACAUAUAUAUAUUUAAUGCAAUGCUUUAUCUGGUAUCUGAAUGCUCAAGUUGUAAAGUUGUGUCAGCUUGACAAUUGUCAAAUCCCUGCUGGAAAAGUACUACAUUGAUCUCAAGCUAAUUGGCCACCUUGAGGUUGGUAGCGAGACAUUGAUAGACAAAAGUAAAUCCAUCAAAACGUGGCUGAUGCAAUUUUUAGAGGUAAAUCAUGGAAUAGCAUCCCACAUAUAUUCACCCUCUAAAUGUUGAUCUUUAUGAAUUCACGGUUUCUAGUUCUUUUAGUUGUUUGUUAUUAGUCCAGUUUCAGUCUCACUCACUCAGUCGCAUAUUGUUGCCACUUGUCAUAAAUACAGGAAAGUGGUAAUACCAACAUCGAGGGAGUUUGACUCCAGUAAUGCAUGUUAUGGUGGAACAACUUCCCUCUUGAAUUGGUGUGACUUCGAUCCAAAGUCCAUGCAAGGAUGAACGUUACGGCCUUGUAGUCUGCACAGAUAGCACGGUUAGUCAUCCAAUAUAGCCAUCUAACUGUUGCACCAAGUGGAUUCAGUUUCUCUUCCUUUUGUCUCCAUGCAACAUUCAUUUGUUGUCCCAUAUUAUGUUCAGGUUUAUGCAGAGGGACCAGCUCGACCUGGUGGAGCUGCUGCAGUUGCUAUGCUUAUUGGUCCAAAUGCACCUAUUUCUUUCAAAAGCAAAUAUAGAGCUUUUCACAUGACUCAUGUUUACGAUCUCUACAAGCCUCAUCUUGCAAGUGAAUAUCCGGUUAGGAUUCUAUCACCUGUUUUUGUUUGUUUGUUUUAGGCAUCUAAAUAAACAAAUUUCUCAAUGAGAUACCAUUUUUUGUCUAUUUCAUAGUAUUAUAUCAUCUGUACACAUUAUAGCUAGGUUGUUAAUGGGAAACUUUUUCAAACAUGCGAUUGGGGACCACACGCGCGCACAUAUCAAGCCAACACACCAUAAACGCAGCAGCAGCACGCAAGCCACAAAUAGGCGUGUGGCGCAGCGCAUGGGGAAGACGGCGACACAACCAAUAGAGCGAGGAGCAGACAGCCACGCUUGCCAUCGAGCCGUUCACACUAAAACGGAUCAAAGAGUAGGACAUUUCUAUUCUCAAACCCUCCCAUCGUAGGGAGUAAUUAUCAAACAGAGAAACAAAAGGAAAAGAAAAGCAAGAAGUUCCCUUCAUCUAUUUUUUAUUUUCUUUAGUAGUUCCCUUCCUCCCACGCAAGCAGUUCCCUUCGCCAGACAAAUUCCUCCCAUCUGUUUUUUAUUUAGUAAAGUAAAACAGGGCAUGCCCAGUCAUGUUUGACGGGCGCAGCUCAGGAAAGAUUUGAUUGUGCUAUUAGUUAGUAGGUACAUUACAGAGCUUGUUCAUGCUAAGAACAUCUACUAUUAGAUUCUUAUAACCAUACUUCAUGUUUCUAUUUUCUAAAUUAAAAUAGGCGAUCUCACUACAGUAAAAAAUAAACACAUAUAUAGCUGCAUAAUUACCUCACGAAGCUAUUUGCAAGGUAGUAGGAAAAUAUUAUGCUUUCCUAAUAAUAUUACCAAAUUACAAUUGACCGAUUCUAGUCUAGGUUUUAAAUUUGAAAAGGGGGAACAACUCACCAUGCUCUUUGAUUUCUUCUUGGACCUAUGUUUCCUAUCACCAGUCCCCUCCCCGCCGCCUGAAUCCUCAUUGAUCUCUGCAAAUCUUAAAAAAAAGCAUCCAAAUAACCAAUAUGUAUCUUCAAAAUAGAAAAAUCAAAUUAAUAAAAGCUAUCUAAUUGAUGGAAGGAGCUUCAUUUCAUAAUGGAAUUCACUCUAUCAGGCAAAUUGUGAUGUUUUGGCAUCCACGGCCAAAACAUCAAUAUAGAAUUCAAAUAUUUAGACAUGACAAUACGUGAGUCAUGAUGUCAUAAUAAGCAGAGUUUUUCUCAAUCGUUCAUGUGGGACAAAAUACAUAGUUGACAUACUUAAUAAUAAGUUAACAAAGAUGAGACCCAAUGAAUCAAACAUUAAAGCUUUGGCUUCACCAUAACAAAUUAAUCUUUGCCAUGUACAGUCUAGCCCUUAAUACCUGGCAUUUCAUUUUACAAUGGAACUCUGUUAUCCCUUGGCAAGCAGCAGUAAUGUAGCAAUGUAGCAGUAGCACUUCUUUCUAGUGUACUCAUGUUGGACAUAACAAAUAUUAGAUAUUAAAAAAUCAUGUUACACAUGAAGCCAAAUAAGCAUUUUUGCAUAAACCAAACGGAUAAACUCACCCUGGGGUAGACUGCAAUCAUCUGAUAAUCAUCAAUCAUAUAUAAUCUAUUCAAACAGAUUUGUCGGUCAAAAUAUGACAAUUAGCGUCCACCAUGUAGCUUUAUUAAGGGUGAUGUUCGAUGCCGGGCUGCAAAGCAUAAACACGCGUUACUACAUUUAAAUCUAUGUUGCCGAAAAAAUAAGUAAGCGGUAAGAAUUAUGAAAAUAUAUAACACCCUUUGGCAUGGAUUGCAAAAACUAAAAAAGAAAAGGAUGCCCAGUAUGGACUCUUCUAUAUACGCACCUUAUAUUUCCUACAUGAAGAAGAAUAAGAGAUGAACCACUAACCUAGCAAGCAGUCAAGCGAACCUGAUGGUACUGGUCUCUUGCCGUUGAGGCCAAUGCACUUGACUUGGAGCUGCGUGCUACUGCCUUCACACCGCAAGGCUUUCUUACUCUUGUUGUCCUGUCCCUCGAAUGCAAUGAAUAGCAGGUACAUACACCAUAGAGAAAAUGUAAGCAACUGAACAUAUGACAUAUCCUUCAUCAAUUCUUAUAUAUAAAACUAAAGUUCAGGUUUUCUCACUGGCUCAUAGCCUUCUCUUCAAUCCUUGCUUCUCAUAAAGAGUUUUCCUCUCCCUCCAAUGCAAUGAACAACAAGUGCAUACACCAUAGAGAGAAUGUUAGCAACUGAACACAUGACAUGUCCUUCAUCAAUUCUUAAAAAAACUAAAAAUGAAGCUCUUCUCAUUGGCUCAUAGCCUUCUCUUCAAUCCUUGCUUCUCACAAAGUGUUUUCGGAUUCACAAAUAACCAAGGAGGCAGCCAACAACAUAUAAUAGCACAUAGCAGUAGCACAAGUAGAGUUAGGCCAAGCAGCAGCCAAGCCUGGUAGCAGCAGAACCCACAACAAACACAUCUACCAGCACAAAAUCAAAAGAGAAGGGGGGGAGGAGGAUGGAGCUCACCUGCCUGAAGAGACAAGAACAGCCAGAGGAGAUGGGGGUGUGGACGACGGGUGGCUGGGAGAGCUUCUCGAGUGGACGGAUGACGGGCGCGAGAGUUGGCCUUCUCUGCGGCUCAUGUUCCUACUGUCGAGGACGACGACAAUGAUGCCAUGAACCAUCGAACCUGCGCUUGUUAGGAGUAGAUGAGGAGAGGUGGCCGCCAAGCCACCAUGAUGUCUCUUUGAGGACAACCUUCUCCUCGCUAACCCUACCUGCAUAAGAACAAAAAAAAUAGGAAGCCAUGAAUUAGAAGAUGAGCUCAGGUUACCAUGCAAGGACGAGUAAAUGGGUGAAGAAAUAUCUCACCUGCGACGGGCUAUGGGAGCCAUCCUCGACCUCUCCUCCUCUACAGGCAGCCGCCGGGGUGGGGGCUCGACCAGGUGGGUUCCGCUGCAGCUCUGCUGCCCUCACCGCAGCAGCCGCUCCUAAUCUCCUGACGGAGAUUUGAGCCCGAUCCAGAAUCACUGCAGCAGCCGCUCCUAAUCUCCUGACGGAGAUUUGAGCCCGAUCCAGAAUCACUGCAGCAGCCGCUCCUAAUCUCCUGACAGAGAUUUGAGCCCGAUCCAGAAUCACUGCACGCAGCGCCGGAUGCCGGCGACCUGCGCCUGAUCCGGCUGGAUCGAACGUAGUUGAGCCCCUGCUGCUGCACCUUGAGCACCAGGGAAGUGGGCCGGGAGAGAAGGCGGCGGUGCGAGAGGAGCAGGGGAGGCGAGACGGGGCGGAGUGGUGUGGGGCUCGAGGAGGAAGAGGAUUGGUCCUGGUGCGCUAGGUUUCGGGAGAGGAUUUUUUUUUGACGGGGGUUUCAGGAGAGGAUUGGUCCUCGAUCUCGUCGCUGCUCCUCUAGUCCAUCCCGUCAACUCCCUCCAUAAAAACACACCCUCUGCUCGCUGGCCCCCUCAGCCUCAUAACCCCACCCGUCAUCCUCUCUUGAAGCGGCCACGAACGUGGAAAACGGUGGACGGUUGACCAGUCGCCAGCAGCCAAAAAAACACUGUAGCUACUCGAUCGAGCGGUGGAAAACGCACAGCGCGCGCAAUGCCUCCAGAUGGACGGGUACUCUAGCAGUCUUUAUAUGUUAGAUAGGUUUCUCUGAUCCGGUAGGCGGAGAGCAUGUGCCCGGAACGCAGUUCCUGUGGUAUCCGCGUUGGCUGCGGAGGUUUUCUUUUCUAAGAGAGAGAGAGAGAGAGAGGGAGAGAGAGAGGGGUUAUGCUCUGUUCGUGGUCGACCUGCAAAUGUUUUGUAUGUUUUCUUUGAGAUAAUGCAUGGACAGUUGAUUGCACUGGCAUUGCAACCGCAUAUACAAACUACAAAGUGUGGUACGGCCGCGUUGGGAUAAUGCAUGAACAUUUUGAGUCGUGCAUUAUCCACUUAUUUAAGUGCCAUUGCAACGGCAAACAAACUACAGGGGUUGCUUUUUUUUUGGCGAAAUGCUACAGGGUUUGCUAACUCAAUUAAAUUGUUUUUUUAUUCAAAGUUUCAAACCCACUUUUUUUUUGCUUACAUAUAAUUAAUACCCCUGUUUGUACCCCUUUAUGGACUUAUGUACCCUUUCAACGACAAGUGGAUCCUAAAAGUAUGAAAAUGCACAUUUGAANNNNNNNNNNNNNNNNNNNNNNNNNNNNNNNNNNNNNNNNNNNNNNNNNNNNNNNNNNNNNNNNNNNNNNNNNNNNNNNNNNNNNNNNNNNNNNNNNNNNNNNNNNNNNNNNNNNNNNNNNNNNNNNNNNNNNNNNNNNNNNNNNNNNNNNNNNNNNNNNNNNNNNNNNNNNNNNNNNNNNNNNNNNNNNNNNNAGACGGGUGGUAGAAAUAAGCCCAGAUAACCUCAUAAGUUAUAUGGCUUGUAUUUCUCGAUCCUUUCAUUGGUUUCCUCCAACCAAAGCUCGCCGGGAGCUACAACAGCACGUCAGAAGUUGGUUUUGGCAUGGAUGGGAGUGGACAAAGAUGAUGACUUGGGUGGAGGCAUUGAAGGUCGUCGAGAGGAACAAUGAGGUGAAGCCCAUGAUGGUGCUCUUGGGCUCGCUGAGGCCCAUGACCCCUGCCUUAAUCUCCUCCAACACGAAGACAUCCACCUUCAAUCUCCUCCACCAUGACACCACCGUCGGAUUCUUUUGCGCUGAUGAUGCGCCACGACAUGGCAAAUGAAACCCCCAAUCAAACUUGGGGAUCAUCAACUACAUAGUCAAAAUUCGGUGUUCCUCCUUUAACACCACCAGCUGUUUGUAACGCCCAAUUUCUUUCUCCGCUAAGCUCCCUAGCAAUUCUUUGCACCUACAUGACCCUAUCGCCCACCUCUGUGUUUCCUUUCUUACAUGUUCCGCAAACAUAGCCUCGUAUCCACUUCCUACCACCGACGUCGUCACCCACCCUCACGUUGGCAACCACCGGAGUUUCACCCUAGCUAUGUGGUUCCACCAUCGACAUCACCUCAAAGUGUUGGUUCCAUUUGCCCCAUCACCUCGCCCUUUUGAUUUUCCCGCCUCCUCCAAGCUCCAUUUGGCCUCGUCCGUGUCCUCUUCUAUCCCACUAGAGCACGGCUACUAGAGAAUCCAAGUUAAUUUAGAGACUUCCAUUUUCCCCCAAAUUAGCGUCAUGUGGCAGCAGUCAAUGGGACAUGCGGCUUGGUCAGACCUGAGUAGGACCUACGGUGAACCAUUUAAUGACUCCAUAAGGACCUAGGUGUGAAUUUCCAUACUUAUAGGACCAAAAUGACACACCCAAUAUAGUUUUAUGGUUUUGUAUACAUUUUACUCAAAAUCUAAUUCAUGAUGGUUAAUUUAGGACUUGUCGAAGCAGUUUAUUUCUGUUCCAGCCUGUUCAAGUUGCAAAGCCCAUUGACAAUUUCAGUUGAUUGUUGUGGUGCUGCCAUACAUGAUCGAUUUAUUGUCAUCAUAUGUGAUGCUUGUUGGCACGAAUACUAGUGGUGGUAUUUAUUAAUAGUUGAACAACCUUGUCCUGUUGUCAAUAAGAUCGACAUGAUCGAGUUGCAUUCCUAGUAGUAUGUUUAAUAUACUAAGGAUCUAAGGAUUAGGGACCAUGUGCUAAUCCUCUUAACUGCCAAAAAUGCUGCACUCUUGCCGUUCGGUUGCUUCAUAUGCUAUGCAAGACUUACGCGUUGUGCCUUAGAAAAUGGGCUCAAGAGUAUGCAACUUUGUGUUAGGAACGACAUGUCAACNNNNNNNNNNNNNNNNNNNNNNNNNNNNNNNNNNNNNNNNNNNNNNNNNNNNNNNNNNNNNNNNNNNNNNNNNNNNNNNNNNNNNNNNNNNNNNNNNNNNNNNNNNNNNNNNNNNNNNNNNNNNNNNNNNNNNNNNNNNNNNNNNNNNNNNNNNNNNNNNNNNNNNNNNNNNNNNNNNNNNNNNNNNNNNNNNNNNNNNNNNNNNNNNNNNNNNNNNNNNNNNNNNNNNNNNNNNNNNNNNNNNNNNNNNNNNNNNNNNNNNNNNNNNNNNNNNNNNNNNNNNNNNNNNNNNNNNNNNNNNNNNNNNNNNNNNNNNNNNNNNNNNNNNNNNNNNNNNNNNNNNNNNNNNNNNNNNNNNNNNNNNNNNNNNNNNNGAGAGAGAGAGAGAGAGAGAGAUGCAUUCUCUUAUUCAGAUUGGAUGCAUAAUGUAUGAUGGCGCUGUUAGAUGCGUACUAUCCGGUGCUGCAUAUAUAUAUAUAUAUAUGGCCGGAAUGGUGAAGGUCUGAAUAUCAUCAUGAUCUUGCCCGAGAGGCAGCUGACAUCCGGUAGGUACGAGCUGGGAGCUCUAGCUGGUCAGGUUAGUAUCCUUUUGUGAUGCGCUAUUAUGCUUUGUUGGUAUGCAUAUGCCCAUCGGCGCCAAGUAUUAUUACGCCCGUAAUCUUCGAAUUUGAUAUAUGCUGCAGGUCGGGAGCCUUUAUGAAGAGAUCGCCAUAAUCCAGUUUUGUUGUUAAUAGGAAAGCAACAGGAGAGACAACUAAGAUCUUUGGUUUCAUUAUCGGGUUUCCCGUGGUACUGCACCAUAUAUAUCGGCACAUUCAAAACGGCAUUUUUCGGAAGGAGAGUAGAACCUGCUUCUACAUCAAUUGAGACCACAUAAGCACAUUCAAAACUGUUUUGGAAUAGUCUCGGUUCGCGUUUGGCAUUACAGAGGAUCAUGGUAAUCCCGUUUGCCUCAUUAGAUUUGCCCUAUUUUAGCUUUAUGCGAUGAAAAAAAUGACCGUAUUACACCUAUAUUUAGUUGCGUGCAUUUGUACAAACCUAACUUUAUUAGGUACUUCCUCGUCCGAAAAAGCUUAUCCCUUAAAUUAAUGUAUCUAGCAUCAAGUUAGUGCUAGAUACAUCCAUUUGAAAGACAAAUUUGGGACAAGUUUAUUCGGACCGAGUGAGUAAUACAGUAUAUAGGGACCAGUCUACACACGGUCAUAAUUUUUCCCUUGUGUUGUGCAACAGUCAGGACCGUUAGAUUUGACGAAGUGGUCGCAGUACUCAACAGUUGACAAGCAGCUCCUGCAGUACUUCAAGCGAUCUGCAUCGGGGAUCAUUUUCCCGAUGAUGGUAGGAUUCCUUCCCAUCACGUUCUGCAGGCGCACCAGGAACGCCGCCAUCGCAUUCAGCUUCUCCGCACUGCUCUCGCUGGUGGUGAACACCACGCCGCUGCUCUUCGCCGACAAGAUGUGCCGGAAGUGCUGCGCCAGCCCGGGCGGUCAUGGCCAUGACGACGACGAGCUCGUCGAGGACUGUCACCGCCACCGGAUACGGUGCCUCUGCAUAGCCGUCUUCGCCUCCAACAUCCUCCUCAUGGUCACCGCGGCCUGCCUCACCGCGGUGCUGAACGUCGUCUACCUCUACCUCGCGGCGGCGGUGGUGUUGCUCGUCGUGGCGCCGUACGCGUGCCACAUAGAGGCCUCGGCGCGGAACACGGUGACGUGGGGCAUCGUGCAGUACGAGGAGUUCCAGGACGACAUCCGGCACUUCUUCGACCUGUCGUCGGAGGCCACGCAGGCGGCGUUCCUGGGCCUGCCGGCGACGCUCUUCAGCCAGCUGAGGCGGAGCGAGUGCAGGCGCAGCGUGGGCGUCAGGGCGCCCGAGGUGCUCACCAUGUACGCCGCGCUGUUCGGGCUCUUCAUCAUGCUCGUGUGCUCGGUGCCGCUGGCGGCGUACUUCAAGGAGACGAGGGAGAAGUUCAUCCGGGUGUUCAUCAGGUACUCCACGUACGCGCUCCUGGCGCUGCUCUCCGUCGUCGCGUUCCUGGCGGCCAUCGAGGUCCUGCAGGCGUACAUCGUGCUGGCCUUCGUGCUCGUCUUCGGCGCCUUCCUCGGCGGCCUGUUUUGGCACGUCCAUAGAGCGCCGCCGCGGUCCCCGGGGAGGGGGGCCGGAGAAGGCGACACGGCAGGGGCGGUGGCGCGCAGGCGGCGGUCGCUGAUCUGGUUUGGCUUCUGCCCGGCCAUGUUCGGCGCCCUGAUGGCGUCCUACUCCAGGAGCGUCAGCGGCGACGGGCCCGGCUUCAGCAAGCUGUACAGGGCCUGCGUGUUCUUCAUCUUUGUCUCGCUCAUCGCCAACCUCACGAGAAUGCUACUCGUUCACGAGGUCCAGGACGAGGACGGCGAGGCGCCGCUACUGCUCAUCUCCGGAUUGGUGAACGUCUUCCUCAUGGCGCUCACCGUCCUCUUGGUUGUUCUCGUGGCUCUGCUGCAGCCGCAGCAGAUUCAGAACACAUUCGUGUUAGCUUGACAGGAAAUAAUACUUACUGACCAAAAAAAAUCGAACGCUUUAGCUAUACGAAAGUUGCCUGGUUUUCAAAUCUGGGCAAGGUUUAUUAUUAUUUUGUCAAAAUUUAUGCUGUAUAUUUUUUCUUGUAUUGUGUCAUGGCUUUUUUGACUGAACUUUUGGGGAUUGACUAGUCAAUGUGUACGUGCAAUGCACGUUAACUUGAAAAUAUAUUAAGUGUAUGUGGAUAUUAAGUAGGAUAUUAUUUACGUGUUAUUAUGUGAUUAGCAUUAUAUUUGACAUGAAAUUAAUUGUACGCUAAACGUAUUGAGCGCUCGACAUUGAAGCAGUCUAGGUCGUUGGAUUGAUAUGAUUAGAUGGCCGAGAUUAAUUGGAUCUGCCCGUUUGGGUCUUUUUAUAUUGGUAUAGAUAUAGAUAUAGAUAAUCAGGGGUACCCUGGUAUGUGUGUGUCGCAUGGUCUGCCCAGUUGCCGCCACACGUUCGACGCACCCGUGGAAACACGUUUUUUUCCUGCACCAGUUUUGGGUUUUUAUAGCUCUUUCUUGAUUUUCUCAGGAUUUUUUAUUCAGAUUUUCGGAUUUUGCCCGGUUUUCUUUGAAUCGAAGGGGUUCAAAGAAUUUUUCCUACAAGAUUCAUAUCCUUUAAAAUUUAUAUAAAAUUAUUGUAAAUCAAAAGCGGCCUAACUAGUGAUUGCAGAUGUGAUAUAGUUGGACUCAUUUAGCUGAUAUCAACUGACAUUACCAAUUGUUGUUAUAGUCCGUUUUUGUUGGCAGAUCGCAUCUCAGAAGUGUUUCUUGUCCCCCGCGCCAAUGGACUAGUUUUGUUUGUAUUUUUUUCGGUUUGUCUAUGGGCUAGUUGUUGGUUGGAAUUAUGUAAUUGUCUAUGGGGUUGAUCGCUACUUCUUCAAAAUCUCUAGUUAAGGUCUCCUUUGGUUUAUAGGAUAAAAUAUCAUAGGAAUAUUAAACUUGUAGGAAAUAUGAUGUCAUGUGCCUCAAAUUCUAUGAAUAGGAAUAUUUAAAGAGAUGUUCUUUGGUUCACAUCAUAUGAUUUUUUUUCUAUAAAGUCUAGGCUAAUGUUUAUUUUUCUGUGUGAUUCAGUAUAUUUUUUCUAUAAGGAUAGGAAGAAAUUCCUCCGAAGAAAUAUGAUUCAGUUCCUACAGACCGAAGGACUUCAAAGGAUUUUUUCUUAGAAAUCCUAUCCUACAGAAUUCCUCCUAAAUUCCUCCAAACGAAGGGAGGCCUCGUCACUCCCGCUCCUUGAGGUGGUGACAAGUGACGCACUGUAUGUACUACACUUGUCGCAAACUAUGAGUUUUCUGCCUUUCUAGAUUCAUUUUUUGAAAGCGUUUGAUCGCUUGAAUUGUUCAUCCAAAUUAUGAACCAUUUUCAAGUUGCAUUUCUNNNNNNNNNNNNNNNNNNNNNNNNNNNNNNNNNNNNNNNNNNNNNNNNNNNNNNNNNNNNNNNNNNNNNNNNNNNNNNNNNNNNNNNNNNNNNNNNNNNNNNNNNNNNNNNNNNNNNNNNNNNNNNNNNNNNNNNNNNNNNNNNNNNNNNNNNNNNNNNNNNNNNNNNNNNNNNNNNNNNNNNNNNNNNNNNNNNNNNNNNNNNNNNNNNNNNNNNNNNNNNNNNNNNNNNNNNNNNNNNNNNNNNNNNNNNNNNNNNNNNNNNNNNNNNNNNNNNNNNNNNNNNNNNNNNNNNNNNNNNNNNNNNNNNNNNNNNNNNNNNNNNNNNNNNNNNGUGAAAACCAUAAAAAGAAUUGUUUUCCCGAAACUACCGAAAACAGAAACAAAAACAAAUUGGAAACCAAAAAACAUUUUUUCCUUUUCACCUUUUUAGGAAGCACUCAUGUCGAAGCACAAAUGCGCUUUUCACUUUUCGAUAAGCACAUAGAAGCACAACUAUGUUUUUCACUUUUUCAAAAAGCACAAUUAUGGAAAGCACAGUUGUGCUUUUCACUUUUCACACAGAGUGCUUCAUGCAAGGAAAAUAGAAAAAUCGAUUCUCUCCCCUACAAAACCUAAAGAAAACCAAGCAAAUCUGAAAACUUGAAGAAGAAAAACACAUGAAAAAAAAGUUUUCACAAGUGCGACCAGCGUGGGACAUGUGGUGGCGGCUCAGAACAUCACAUGGCACGCGUCCGCUGGGAAGGUGUUGCAAGGGUACUCGUUGUUUAAUCAAUUUCGAUCUCUAAAUGUUUAAUUUUAGGCACUCUCCGCUUUAAAUGAUACUUUCUUCGUCUAGGUUUAUUAAUCCUUCAUCAAGUAACUUGGGACCAAGAGAGUAUAUUAUUAGUGAAAUCAAUGACUAAAAGUUGAUCCAAAAUAUCUAUACUACUAUUAAACAAUCAAACAAGAACUUCUUUAAGGACACCCCACAAAGUGUACACAGAUCCAAUACCACCGCACGAUUAGGCCCACUAAAAUCAAUCUAACGGUUAGCCUUAACCUAAACCAUUUUCUGUGUGCACUUUGCAAUUCACAUUGACUGACCGUACUCCACCGUGAAGGAAUAUAUGAAACUCCACGCCUGGGAAAUUAGGAAACUAAUAAUCAAGGGUGCAUCCUAUUCUGGGUAACUAAAUCAGAGUGCAUCCAUCCUAUUAGGAAACUAAUCUAAAACAAAUCCAUCCUAUUAAAAAACUUAUCUUGGACGCAUCCAUCCUAUUAGGAAGCUAAUCGCGAGCCGCCUGCCGCCAUCAUGCACGCUAGCCACGAUGGGGGAAGCGCGAGGAGUUUCGUCUUCCUCCAGGAACACAUGUGUUGUCGCUGCCAUCGUCUUCUGCCUGGAGGCCAGGCGCUCUUUUGCCACUACUGCGACGACUCCAUCCAUGUCUAGGGCAUGCUCUCUGGCAACCAUCGGCAUCCGCAUCGACUUCAGCUCCAUUCACAACACCCACGCCGACAACAACCCACCACUGACGUCCUCCAAGUCCAAGCAGCCAACUGCCGUCGUCCCUAAGGCGGCACCGGUCUCGGCCGUGGCGCAGGACGUGUCUUCAUUGUCGUUCCUGUCGUCGUCCUACUGGGCCGUCAAGGACCUCCUGCAGUUCUUCCUACGUGCACAGUCGAGGGCACCGAAGGUCUAUCGCAAAUCUAUCAGGUGAACCAUUAAUUCGAUUUGGGGGUAUUCUGUAAUUUGCAUGACUAAUAAUGCACUUUUGGCACUUGGAGGUGGGUCAGAAAUUUCUUUGGGAAAUACAUGUGAUCUGGAGCAUGAAAAUCAUUCUCCAUAUAUACUCCCUCCGUUCUAAAAUAUAAGUCUUUUUAGAUAUUUCAAUGCGGACUACAUAGGGAGUAAAAUGAGUGAAUCUACAUUCUAAAAUAUGUCUAUAUACAUUUGUAUAUAGUCCGUAUUGGAAUAGCUAAGAAGACUUAUAUUUUGGAACGAAGGGAGUAGAUAUAGGAAGAAUGAGACUGAUUGUAAGAGUGUGUUUGUCUAGACCUGUAUACUUACAAUGCGAUUCUUAUUUAAACCAAGAUUAGAAUUGGACUACAUGCAUAAGUUUGGCUGGUUGAGAAAUUUGAAUUCACUAUCUCUCAUAAAGUUUAUGUUCAGUGGGUGCACGUGCAUUACAUAUUAAAUAAGAAUCAUGGGGCUUCAAGCAAUCUAGAAUUAUAGAUUUGGGAUUAUCUUAGGUUGCCGAUUGCUGUACUGAAAAUGUGUAAUUAGAUAUGGCACGUACAUAAAAAUGCAGCAAUCUUGUCUUACAAAGUAGGAUCAAGAAGGAUACUGAAGAAGUCAAGAUGCAGAGUCUCUAUUUUCCAUGAUUACUUCUCAUGUUCAUGUUGGCUUCCUUGGGCUUUACUUCGUACGACCAUAUGCAUUAAACUGGACCGUAUCAAGAGGUAGUACCAUCCCCUUGAUUAGAAUUGCCUUAUUUGUGCUAUUUGAUCAGUGUGUGUUUUACUCAUGACGUUGCUUUACCUAGAAUUAAGGUGGGUUGCGCCUGCCUAGGCACUAGCUCCAGGGAUAGGUUGGAAAUCAGAAUAUAUGAUUCAUUCUUAGAGAAAACUUUAGACGCGUCGCUUUAACAUAAUUGCAUAGCAAUCCAGUAAAUUAUGUAAGAUUCAAUAGGAGGCAAGAUAUUGUAGAUGUACUACUAUUUCAGCUACAUGAUUCUAUACAUCUAAAACUGGUUACAUGACUCCGUGACUGUUGUUAGAGAAUAUCUCUCGAUGUUCUGUAAAGGUGUGCAAUCUCUACUGCGUUACAAUAAAGAGAAUUUUACCAUACAGAAGGAUCCAAUGAAGAAACUAAUCCGGCUGAGUUCCAAUAAAUAGAUUCUUUGAAGGACCUGUCCUAAUACAGCUGCCGUAUAUUGGUACAGAGAAAUCAUACAAACUGUAUUCAGUCAGAUUUAUUUUGUUUCAUGACAGAGAAACCAUAUACCUUUUGCUAUUUUGGCACAUAUAUUUAUUCUUAUAUACUUGUGCAGUUUCAAAUGAUCCAACAUAUCUGCAGUCAUCAAACUUGAAGACAUACUGUUUAAGGCCUUAUUUCCACCGUCUCUCUUUCUUUGUCUGCGGCCUCUUUCCUCCAAUAAUAAUAAUGAAUAAAUUUUUCCGGAACAGGUAUUACACUGUUACAAAUGUAUGUUGAAGCUACUCCUUACGACGGAAAAAGAGGAUGAAUGCUUUCUAUGUUCACCAGUUUUGUAGCAUGUUCCAAAUUGUUGGUUCUUUCUUAUUUGAGGAUUCAUCAUGUUUUUUGUAAUUUAGAAGCUGACCUGAAAGCUUGAUAAGGUUAAGCUUGACAAAUACUCUGGAAUACUGUUCCUUCCAUCUUUAUUUUUCUUCAUAACUCAUUUCAGUUUCUGUACGCACAGAGAGUCUUACAGCAUUGUAAGUUAGUAUGGUUGCCAACGCAUAAACACAUACAAAACCGGAUAAAUACUUCCUAUCAUGAUAAUUAUUGGAUUUCUUUAGCCCUUUUACAUUUCAAUUAGUUCUUGUAAAUCAUCUUUAUUUUAUAUAGAAGUCGUUGUAGUCACAUAUCAUCUUCUAUUUCCUAUUAUCCAUAGUAGGUAGCUAUACAAUUUUGGCAAUCCACACAACUAAACAAUAUAUAUAAUUUGAUCCAAAUUAGUACAAGUAUAUAUUUUGCUAUGCAAAUUAGUAGAAUAAAAUAAGAUUCGAGAAUUAAGCAUCUUGAACAAUAUAAUUGCAUCGUAAGGCAGUUUAUACUUUUUUUCCCUGGCUACACUCGAAGAGAAGGCUACAUUACAAGCCUAUAUUAUUGCAUUAAUAAAUAAUUGCUGAUUUUAUUUAAAUGAUAAUAUUUUCCUACGAUUACUCUGUGCAGCAACAUAACCACUAUUGUGUCUCACUUUUGAAAAUACAAUUUGAGGGACAUCAAACAUUGUGUAUCCAUUUAAUUUAUAUUUUUAAAAACAUUUAUUUUUUUAUAUUAUGUGAAUCUCGCCUGGUUUACGUUUGACACGUGCGUCGCACGUGCAUACUUACUAGUAAGGAGAUUAAUAAACCUAGAUAAAGAAAGCACCUAAAACUCAUCAUCUAGAUGGGGGAUUUGGAUCAUUUAGAUUUGUCUGAGGGUUGUCCUAAUGGAAAGUGUCCCUGGUCCCACCCGUCAAUCUUCUCUACUACUAUUAAAAGAGCAAACUUGAGUACCCCUAAAACCACACAACAAAUUGUACACAAGAGUACCAGAGACGUUAGAUCAAUCAAACUAACCCAUAUCCGACAAUCCAUAUUACAUCAAAGAUCUGCCGCAUAAAUUAAUGCUCCAGAUUAAAUGUUCUGCCAGGCAGACUCGACGCACGUCCUGCCCCCCGCGAUGUGCGAUCCACCCCAGGCAAACAGACCUCCGCACAUCACGCCACUAAACGCAUCAUCCUCUGCCCCAACUGCGCCCCGCCUCCCUCCCCACCGCCGUGCUCCCCCUCUCCGCACGGACGCCCUCCCCGCCUCCGCUGCCGCCCACGCAACGGACGCCAUCAUGGCAGUCGCCGAUCCGCUCAAGACCCAAAAGCCCGUCGCGAGGACCUAGAAGUCCUCCAUGGAGCUUAAGCCGCUCCCUCCGGGCCUGCCGCACCAAGGAAAAGCGGAUCGAGUGGGGCGCGGAAGGAGCCGAGGUCGACACGCCGCCGUCGCGUGGGCGUGUCGGCGGCGAACAGGGUGUCCCCAAGAACCGGCCGUGGGUCAAGAAGACGGUGAUGUUCCCAAAUCCCACAUUCGUCGCUCCCACCUCCGUCACCGUGUACGCCUCGCCGUUAGCGACAAAGAAACUAAAGCGGUCCUACAAGACUAGGUCCCCUGUCAGUCAAGGUCGCGCAGACCUCGCACAAGUUCCUGGUGGCAGCAUGAUGAGUGGGCUCAAGCAGCAACCCGGCGUCAGCUUGACGGCGUGGACUAUCAGGAUAUCAUCCUGAUGCGUGCUGAUCAAUUCAAUCGUGGUGAGAAGAUGAGCUCUGCUAUACUCAAAAGUGUGCACCACAAAGAAACGAGAAACUCUGAAACUAUACAUGGGUCAGUGAUCUAUAGAUUUAUCUUUCAAGAUUACCAGCAGUUGGUUUCGUUUCAAACUAAUUAGGUAGAUAUUUGUGCAAGUUUAUAGAAAUUUGUCAUGCCUAGCUAGCUGCUCUAGCAGUCAGUUGAAUCUGUGUUUGGGUCAAUUUUUGAGGUUUGGUCUGGCACAACUAUAUUUCAACGGAGGUAGGUGAUACUCAUGAGGCAAGAGCACUUCACAAGGGCUAUUAUAGCAAAGAAAUCGCUGGGUCUGCAAUUCUGGAUCAAAGGUAAGCUCUUCUUGCUUCUUCCAUGAUCAAUUAGGCUUUAAAAUAACUCUUUCCUACAUCAUGCUUGAAAUACUAAAGAUGUUAUCUGCAGGACACAGAAAAGAUGAUGGAGUUAGAGCUUCCGUACAGCAGAGUCUUAGGUAAUUUAUGUUCUGACCAUGUUUUUACUGCAGAACCAAAUUAUGAAUGCUUAAUCGGAGCUAUUUCUCACUCAGUUUCCUCUAGGUCUCUACCAAUUAUUGUUUUUCUUUUGAGGUGAAUGCAGCUGCUGGUCACACUUUAACCACACGCCAAUUGUAGGAGUGGUGCGGCGCCAUCCUGUACCACAAAUCAUGCGAAGAAUGAUGGGUGGUGUAAUCCUAUGCUAGCUAGAGUGCUAGACUGAUUUCAGAAACUCUUGGAGCUCAUCUUUUGGCCUGAAACACCAAGAACUAACCUGCCACAGCAGUGACUACUGAUUAAUACAAUGGAGUUCAUUUGAUCCAUCUGAUAAAAUACCUAUUGGGGAAUAAGCGUGAAAAGUAAUCACCCACUCUUUCCGGAGUGGAAUUCAGGUAUGCCUGCUCAUCUAUUUAUUUGACUGUUGUUAUAGAUAGAUUCAUCCGGGUCUGAAAUGUUAAUGGAGUUGUUUCAUUCCUCACACAAUCCCUUUCAAUUGGAUCAGUUCUCCUUUUUGAAUUACUCUAUAUUCCAUACAUAUAUGUUUAUUAUGUUCAUCGAGACUGCAAGACAUUUAUUUUGUUGAUAUUACCUUCAAGGGAACAUGGUACCUACGAUGCAGGAGGACUAUUGGAAAUCAGUUUUAAAUUUAAUCAAGUGUAUACUUCUCUUUUGUCUCUUCCGCAGCCAUGAUGUUAAGAAGUUCAGUGUAGGCAGGAAAAAAAAUCUUGGUAAGCUAUAAUCUUCUGAUCACAGUCUUACUUUUUUUAUUACUCUUGUUAGUGCUUCCGUUACUUUCUACUGAAUAUGUUCAAUGGGAUAGGGAGUGGACCUUCCAUGCAAACUCAAGUGAUAAUAUGUGCAUGUUGUGUUUUUAGUCCUGUAAAUUUAAUAAGCCAACACCUUUCAUUUAAACAAAGUCAAGAUCACACAUCUAUUUUUGACCUAGAGCCAUUUCAUUGCCAAUAAGAGCAGCUUUUGCAUGGUAAUUGAUAGCUCUUCCUCUCAGGUAUGUUCUCUUUUUAGCAUAAUCAUAUCCCAGUGUGUUGUAUAUUCUUUUCUCCAAUGAAGGUCUGUUGCAUGACCAAUUCAUUUCUCCCUUCUAUCUGAUUGCCAGACUGCUGACGACUUUCUGAUAAAUUGUCUGUCUUUUUCGACUGGCCAUUAGUUUCUGAAAUUAAGGUACUGUGAUUUGGGAGGAAUAGAUGUGUACACACUAUUGUUAAUUGCAGGAGGGUGAUUUGUAGUCUAAAGCCUAAAAUCUCUGGAUUGGACGGCGACGGCGCAUCGGCGUCGCUUACUUCUUGAAGACGCCGCCUUGGGAGCUCUUCGUGGUCAGUUUGGUGCGGUGGUGGUCUGCCAAUCUUCAGUAGUGUCCCUGCUCGGGAGUUGCGGUGGGCUUUUGGGUCUUGGCCAGAGACGGUCGCGAUAUAGGGGUUUCCUACAGAGGCGAGGUCGCCACAGAUGUUGUCCUAUCCCCCGCAACUGGUUGGCAUGUUCAUGCGUGCUCGGGGGUGAGCUGCUCUGCCUGCCGACGGAACGACGUCCUUUGAUCCAGGAUGAGAGGGCAGGGGUGCCCUCUCCGGAGGCUGCGACAGGAUAACAGGUUGGCCUUGGGAGGGGCGGAGCGUGGCUUUCUUCCGGCGACGAAUAGCUUCCUUGUCGCAGUUGCGUUGAUGGCAUGAUCUGCGGCCGUCGUGGGCUUCGAGAUCCUACGGAUCCUUCGGAGCUCGUUAGUUGUUCCAUAGUGUUUUGUAUCCGGUCGUGUUUGUCUUUCGUUUCUUAUGGUAUUGCCGUCUGUAAUGUCUGGUUUGCUUUAUUAUUUAUAAAGCGGGGCGAAAUCCUUUUUGGGUAAAUAUGAUAGAACGAUGGAUUACAUGGUUGCUUUUCAAACCUAUUCAGGUUGGUGGAAGUCGUGAACUUUAUAUUCAUAUUAGUUCAUGUAUUUGUUUACUGGUGGUAACUAUUUCAUCUGAUGGUAUUGCUAUCGUGUCAUACAGAACAAGUACUCUGAUGAUGGCAAGAAGCAUAAUGUUAAAUGAACUGGGUAAUGUUGAGGUUGAUGAUAGCAUGCUUGUGUAAGUUUUUACAAGCUGUACAUUAUAUGGAUGAGAUCAUGAAUGUGGUAUGAAAAAAUGUCUGUCCAGUGUACAAAGCCAUGAAACUGGAUUCAGAAAUAAGAAAUAGUCGCUUCGACGACAGCGGUGGCGGGCACCGUGGCAUGGACGACGGUGAUCCCCUCGGCGGCGGCGAUCUGCAGCAGGUCAUGCUGGCUCUGCACCAGGCUCGCCGGCAUGAAUUGACCCCCUUCCACCGCCCUACGCCCCACCUGCUCGGCGUUCACCUCCGCUGGCGCCUACUGGCACACGAACUUCACCAGAAUUCACUUGCAGGAGAUUAAUGUGUUUGGGGAACUAUAUAUUGAAAAAGUGUGUAUUUUUGCAAGAGAAUAUAUAAUUGAUGUAACAUAUAUGAAAGAUGGUCUGAUAUUUGGAUUAAAGAGGCAUACUGAUUCAUCUUUAAAAAAAGGCAUACUGGUUCACAAAGAAUAAUAUUUCUAAUUUUCUGGAUGUUUGAUACAAUGUACAUUUGUGUUAGACGUGCGUUGCACAUGCAUGCUUACUAUAGAUUAUCCUAUACAUUUCCUUUAUUAACACAAAUGUCAAUUCUAUAAUCUGUUAGGCAUUACAUCUCUGUUUUGCGCAGGAAACUUCAGAAAUUAGGCUUUUCUUUGUAAAUGUCUUCACGACACUGGGUUGGCUUCUGUUCCGGUGGUCACAGAAUACUCAUGGGAUUUCAUUUGAAUGUUUAUUCUUCAGAUUAUGCUGAACUAAAUAUGAGCUCAGUGUGGUGUUUGGUUUGAAUGGUGAAUUUUGUGCGGUGUUUCUGCAGGAGUUUUUUAAUCUAAAGCAAGGGUGAGCGCCAAGGAAGGAGGCGCCGCCACGGGCGACGGUGGCGGGGUUGGCCGCUGGCGACUGCAAUAUUUAAUCAUUGUUGUCAACAUUGGCACACAUGAUUUAGUGGAAGGAAGGGUAUGUCUUUCCCCACUUGUUAUCCUUUCUUAUAGGCUAUGAUGUAGUGUGAUUGGUAUGCAAAUGUUACAGAGCUCUGAACUAUCCUUUUCGCAGUAACUUAAAUCAUGACGUCUCCCUUUAAGUAUGUCAUAUCCUGUAUCGUGAUAUUAAAUAUUGUUGUGAUGAAUUGGAAGGUAAAUUUAGGUACCAAAUACUCUUAUCAGUCAAUAUUGUUUAAGGCCCAAAUUUUUUAUUGAACUUUUGGUCAGUUUCAAAUAUUCGUUCACGAUAUUCAGAGAUUAGUAUCAUGCAUCUGCUAUCUUAUUUUUGCCUUUGUAAUCGUAAUAGAUGUCUCUAGCUUCAGUAUGCUGUCAGUGCACUUCCACUUCCUUCAAAAUGAUUUUUUUUGUGUCCUAACACUUUAGAUUUGGAGGAAAGAAGAGAGAGGCUGAACAGAAAAAAACCUUAUGGAAUUGAGCGCAAAAGAGGGGGGCACACACAGUUAAAAUGUUGUGGUCUUAGUGACAUCAAGAAUCUGUCAUAGUUAUUAGAUUUCGCUAUUCACUCGCCGAUUAGCCCAUGGUUCAGCAUCAGCUAACACUUUUUUGUGCUCCAGUUUUGGGCCAUCAGAUUUCCCUGAGAAUCAAGGGAAAGGAAGAGGAAAGGAAAAUUUUGAUACAUGCUCUGUUGCAAGUGUUUAUGUCGCGCAGGUUGGUUCAAUCUAUCUUAUUUGGGUACACAACAGCUUAUAUUUUUAAGAAAACUCAAGAACACACUUCUGUGAUUUGUUGUGUAUUAUGUUGAUAGAUCUGUGGUUAGGGAGCACACUUGGAUUACAUGUUUCUCCUUUCGGCCCGCUUGCUUGUUUGUUAAUGUCCAUCUUUUUUGAACUAUCAUGCAGAAACUUUAAUCUAUUGUGCAGAAUACAUUUCUUCAGAGAAACCGUUGGUCGUGUGCAGAAUAUAUUUCUUCAGAAAAUGUGUUAUUGUGCAGAAACUACAAUGAAGUUGUUGGGGAGAAGAUCCAGUGAACUCGGCUACAUCGGGUUGGGUCAAAGUUACUGGUACGUUUUCCUGAUCUGCACCCUAUCUCAAUGUAUUUCUGUUAAUAAGCACAUUUUCAUACUUUGAAAGCAUGUCGUAUAAUUAUCAAUAAUAAGGUAUUAUGGGUUUUGUACAUAUUCAGGUCCUUCGAACGGUCUAUUGUGCGUCGAAAGUCACGUUCAUCUCUGGCAAAUUCCACCGUAGCCUCGGUCGUACAUGUGCUUCGAUCUAUUUUCGUAUUCUUUUCUUGGGUGUUUGACAAAUGCUUCACAAACUAAGCUCAUGUUAAACAUGCACAACUAUGUAAGAUAGUUUCACCUCUCUUAUGUACUUGCAGAUUGACAUGCAUUGUCAAUUUGUAUUGUUUCUAAACUGAAAAAAUGAUGCCCUCUUGUUCACCGAUUAUCCAUGAACUCAAAUGAUGCCCUCGUGUACUUCAUUGGCCUUUCAUAUGCUGGUUGUGCACACAUGGCAUUAGCUUGUCCUUUUCUACUUUAUUUGUUCAGUUCGCUGGAAAUGGAAAUACCGCCUGAAACUUUUAUGCACGUGCCACCUUCGAUCUUCAGUACCUUAAUAUGUCUUGUUAAACUCCUACAAAGGUUAUCAUAAACCAUAACCAUCUAACAUGCAUUGCACUCUGACCCGAUGUAGUAAUUCGCAACAGCAGUGCCACGGUUCAGUUCAGCAUGGGGACCAACUACCUCUACAAUGUCCACUCCUAUUGGUCUCUGACCUGUCAAACAAGAAGAGAUGGUGCAGCUAGCUGCUGAAAAGGAGAUGACCGUGGUCCUAUUGACAAGAGGAGAUGACGAAGACGCAGCAGACCAAGCCUUUGCGUUCUCCAGUCUCAUGCACAAGGAGUUUCGCAAGAUGGCCAAUGUUGUUAGGAACCAGGUCACUCGCAACUACUACAUGGCUGACUUGACCAAACCCGCUCUUGCAAGACUUCAAUUUACUGCAACCUGGUAAUUUUUUUUUUUUGAAAAGGAGGUUACUGCAACCUGGUAAAUGAUGAGUAUAAUGAAUGAUGCGCUCAUUACACUGGUUGUGCGAGUAGGUUCAACAUUUGUACCGCAUGACUAUGUUUCCAGAAUUGAUCGGGACAUUCCCCCUUUUCUUUAGAAAUGAAUGGAAAUUUGCACUCCCUCUAUGCCAUGCCUGCAAGCAUGAUUACUCAUUAUACCCAUGUUCAUUUUUGGUUAUGUUUUUGAAACAUGUAUAUCAUUUAUGUGUGUGACCGGUGGUGUCCUUUUAAAAAUACAUAUUGUUGUGCAUUGAUUUCUUCAUGGUCGUGCCUUUGUCUAUUUUAAAAAAAAAUCAUAAUAUCAAUGUAAAAUUUAUAUUCACAUGACUUGUUCGUCGACAAGGAUUCGAAAAGGAUUUGGUCCACAAAAUUGUGAUAUACUUUUAAAAAAUUCCCCUUGAACAUUGUCAGUUUACUCAUGAUCGACAAAUAUGUUCACUAAAUAUUGCCUCAUGUUAGCACACUAUUAUAUUUUUGUUCAUUGUUUUCUAGAAUGAAUGAUGAUUUUUUAUAUGAUAAUACGUGCGUUGCACGUGCACAUUUACUAGUAGAGGCAAAUGAUGAAAGUUAGAAGUAAAAUGGGGCAAAUAAUCCAUCAUAAUAUCUGAUUAUAUAUUUUCUGAACUCAAAUUUAGGACGGAGGAAGCAGGGACCAUAAGUCCAUAAUCUGUCUGGACUCCUGAUCCCUGCAGAAACUUCUAGAAGCAUCAUUCACGGGCCGGAAUCCCCAUGGACGGCGCGGCCUCUACGAAGGCGGCGGCGGUGGCGGAGGGACCCUCCGGCGACGCCGUCGAUCUCGACUCCAGCGUGCCCGCCGCCUCUGCAUUGCCCGGUCCUGUUCGUCCUCAACCUCCUCCGCCCGAACUCCCCCGCUAUUCUCUAGAUUUCACUUCAAGAUUUCUUUUUUCAACCGAUUGAUCUGGGGAUGGUGUGUAAUUAUCUGGUGUGUUAUAGGGGGAAGACGUGUACGUGGUUUUGUUGGUGAAGGCGUCGCUCAAGCUGCUUGGGAAGGAUCUUCCGCCUCAAAUUCGGCACUAUGGCUUCGAGAUGAUGCAGGUUAUUCCUUGGCACAUGCUACUCAUAUCUGUUUGCUGUCACAUGGAGUUCUGUCCAGAUAGAAGUAGUACUACUUAUUUGCUGAUUUACUGCAUCUACAUCUGCAUCUGCAACUCUUCGGUUGAGUAAAUAGCAUAAAACUACUACUUUACAGGCUAGGGUUCCAAAAAACUAUCGAUUUUUAAUUUUUCUCAGAUAACUACCAAGUCAGGGGUUGACUGUUUCAAAAAACCCCAAAUUCUCUUUGUUAAAAAAUUAAACAUGUUUAUGACACGCCGGGCCCGCCACUAAACACACCGUUUGGUUGACCGUUAACUGACUUGUGGGGGCCACAUGUCAGCGCCUCAUCAACAGAUUUUUUACAGAUUAGCCCCUACAAAUAUUUUUAAAAAGCAAUCGGGUCCUUGGAAUCAUUUUAAAAAAGCAAUCGGGUCCUUGGGCUGUCGCCGCCACGCCUCCAAAGGGCUCUACCCGUGGUCGCCGUUGCACCAUGGGGCUUCGCCCGUGGUCGCCGCGCCCACAGCCUGGGUGGCCGGGGUGGUCGCCGGGCUAGCCGCCGUGGGGCUCCGGCUCAGGUCCUCGCGCCGCCGCGCGCCAUAGGGAUCCGCCUGGAGCACCGGCAGGCAUGGGGCUCUGGCUCGGGUCGCCGCGCCACCGCGCACCAUCGGGAGCCGCCUGGGGCGCCGCCGGUCAUGGGGCUCCGCUCAGGUCUCCACGCCGCCCCCAAGCUGUGCCUCGCCCGCGGCCGCCGCCAUCCCCUGGCCCGAGCUCCUCAAGCUCGACGCAGAUGGCAUGCGCCGCUGCUGGAGUGUCUCAGACGAGGCCGGCCUCGUUGCAACCGUCGCCACCAGGAGCUCCGGCUUGGGGGGAGGUUCGCCGGCGUGGGAGGGGGAGGGGGUCGCCGGCUUGGAAGGGGGAGGGGGUCGCUGGCUCGGGAGAGGAGAUGUCUGGCACAGGAGGCAGAGAAAGAAGAAAUAGAAGAGGAAGAAGAAACUUACAUGUGGGCCCCACAUGUAAGUUAACGGUCAAACUAAGGUCAAACUAACGGUUUGUUUAGCUGUGGGCCCAACCUGUCAUAAUCGUGAUCAACUGAUAAAGACUUGAUGAUUUGGGUUUUUUGAAACAGUCGACCGCCCAUUUGGUAGUUAUCUGAGAAAAAUUAAAAAUCGGUAGUUUUUUAGAACCCUAGCCCGUAAAGUAGUAGUUUUAUGCUAUUUACUCUCUUCAGUUAGUAGUACACGCUCCAUCUUACUUCGGUCACUACUUCAUCAUUACAAUCGUAUGGCUGUUGUGAAAUUUGCCUGGAAAAUCACAGCAUUCCUACAUUUGUUAAGGCUGGUCAUAGUGGGAGUAACAUAGGUAGUAACAUAGAUGCCACAUAAGCAAAAAUGGUGAUGUGGCAAGUAGUUAAUGAGGAGAGAGGCAAAUAGAGUAACAUAAUAUGUUACCAUCACAUAGCGGUUUCUAAUGCAUAAUGAGUCUACAAAGUAAUAAAUGAAGGCAAUUAUGUUACCACACCUAUGACACUACCCACUAUGAAGGUAGUAACAUAGACUAGUAACAUAUGUAUGUUACUAGUCUAAGUUACUCCCCACUAUGACCAGCCUAAUAUAUACCCCAUAACUCAUGGCGUGAUCGAUGAUCGUGCCGCUCAGCUAGCUAUAACUCAUGGCGUGCUGAUAUUGGUAGCAUCUACUUGUGAGGUGGGUUGAGGUUCGUAUCGCAGAACAGAGUGGGUUUGGAGAUGCGUCUGAUUUGGUAGAUUAUUUUUAUUUGGUAGACUGGUUAGCUGCCCCCCUCGAUCUGUUUCCAUCAAGCAGUGCUACAGCUUCGUUAGGGGAAAAAUGUUCUUCCUCGUUUUUGUUAUUUGAUUUGUUUCUUCUGUGCUUGUUUGCAGGUAAUUUAGAGUUGCGUGUGAUACUGUACCUAUCCGUCAAUAAGAUAUGUUUAUCUUGUUGCCUAUCUUUUAUCAGGGUCCGCCAAUUAACUUUUUGGAUGGUCGUGGUCGAGAGCAUGAUCAACAGGUAUGAUCCUGUUCAGAGUAAUGCUACUAGUGAUUUAGUAAGACCCACUGAAUCUUUUGUGCCAAAAUGGCUGGUAAGCAUACUGUUAACCUCUCCAUUCUCUUCUUGUUUGUUUGGCAUAUUUGGACUUGUGGUUGCUGAAUUACCUCUUGAAAAAAAAAUCAAGUGAUUCUUAAAAUAUUUAUUUUCGGAGUUACAAUAAAUACACAUGUCCUGUAGGUGUUUGAAAAUUAAUACGUCAAGUUUCUUAGUUAUGAAACUGUAAAAUUCCUAAACGAAUGGGAUCUGGCCUACCUUGUAACAUUUAUGGGCCUUAGGACUUGUUGUAACCUGGCCUGUAAGAGUUAGGGUGCCUUUGGUUCAGCUUUUGCACCCAUUUCUGCUGUGACAAAGCUGAAAGCUAACCAAGGGGGGAUUUUCAGCACAUAAUCUGCAGACGCAACAAAUUUCACACAGUGCAAAUCUCACAGCAGCUCGACCCCAGCUUCCAUCGCGCUGAGGGCAGACGUUUGCCGAAAAUUUCCCACCCUGCCACCCCGCAAGUCAUACCGGUUCGAUUUCUUUUCCCCCUUAACCAAAGCGAGACACUAGUCCACUUCUACUCGGCGCUUCGAACAGGGAAAGCAGGAGGCAGAGCCUCAGAGCUCACCCUCAAGCUAGUUAGGCUGUGUACGUUUACUGUGAUGGGGUUGUUUGGUGGAUAUGGUGUACCUGCGUGAAUAGUGGGUGGCUUGUUGAAGGCUAAAUAGCUGAGUUAGUUUUGUGUGGACUCCGAUAUUUAUCAAUUUAUAUGCGGGCACAUCACACCUUCGUUUUCACCUUAUCCAGGCUCACCAUAUGCACACUUCUUUAUGUUUUCCCAUUGACUUGGCUACAGAUGACCUCCCUGUGUCACCGGUUAGUUUCCGGUCCAUCUGGCCAACUAAACAUGCACACCCAGGCUAAAUCCAUAUGCUCAGCGGUGCAUGAUGGGUUGACAGCGACCAUUCAGGGGAGAACCAGCAUUGGAGAGGUGCAAGAAACACCAAAUAGGGACUAAAAUAAACAUCUAGCUUCAACUUUAGUAGGCUUGUUUUCUGUGCCCCCAGCGCGUUCGUGAACUUGGGUGCGUGUGUUUUUCCUUCUUUUGUGUUUGGGUAACCCUUGUGGUUGCCAGUGUGGACCUUUGUGUUUUGGUGUGUCGGCCUGGCUGUUUUUGGACUUGGCUUUAUCUAUAAAGCGGAGCGCGGAGCCUUUCUCGGUAGUAGGGAAGCUGGCGGAAGGAUGGAGUCCAAGUGGAGAGAUUGCAGUCCUCUUUAGCAGUCAAUACUGUUAAAGUAUAUUAUAUCUCCUCUUCGUAAUAGAUCAGUCUUUUGGGAUAGUUGGUUGAUAGGAUUUUCUAACAUGGUAUCAAACCUGAGGUCUUAGGUUCAAGUUUCAGUUCCCGCAUUUCCCCCAAUCAUUUAUGCCCGCCCAAGACGGACGUGAGCGGAGGUGUUGAUCAUUCCAUAUCCACAUUGGAUGUGAGAGAGAGGGGAGGGGGGUGUUAAGUAUAGUUAGGAUAGUUGUUUGAUAGGAACAUCUAACAUGGUAUCAAACCUGAGGUCUUGGGUUCAAGUCUCAGUCUCCGCGUUUCUCCCAAUCAUUUAUCUCCGCCCAAGUUGGGCGUGAGGGGAGGUGUUGAUCAUUCCAUAUCCAUGUUGGAUGUGAACGGGGCGUGUUAGAUAUAUUAUAUUUCCUCUUCCUAACAGAUCUGUCUUUUGGGAUAGUUGGUUGAUAGGAUUAUCUAACAAGUACAUUGCAGAGUUUAGGGAGUGGGGAAGUUUUAUUUUUCUUUGAAUAUCCUGAAUCUUAUUGGCACAUUGUAGCUUAUGUUUUGCUUUUUAGUUUGGAUACUGAAAGUAGCCAUCAUAGCUCACUAUGCUGCUCUAGGGAUUUACAUCUUUGACUGUUCUAGUGCCAUUGAUGGUGCAGGGUAAGUAUAAAGUAACACCAGACUAUCAAGAAGAGGCCGAGCUACUUCGUUGGGAGCAUAAUCUCCUGUCUGAAGCAUUUCUCAGUGUGACGACCUGUCCUGGGUACAAUGGAAAUAACAUCCUUUUACACUCCCAUGUUGUCACAUUAAGUGCACUAAUAAAGUUCAGUACUACAGAUCAUGAUGCAAAACAAAUUGUAUGCCUUUUGUCUGCCAGGAUUGAAUGUAAGGAGGAGUUGCUUAUGUCUCUACUGAAACCUUUGAACAAAAUUUGGACCCAGCCAGAGUGGAAUGAAGAAUACAUGCGUUAUACAUAUCGUCUAACUGGUCUUCUUUGCAGUGAUCAAUUUAUGGAGACAAUAUGUUUGUUGGUAAAGUCAUUUGAGGAGGAGAUCAAAGGAAGAAAAAUUGAACAUUCUACGGGAACACAGGAAAAAUGCCGUCCAACAUCAACUACCAAUUAUCCGUACUCAUCUACCUUUCCACAACUAAUGCUUGCCCUGCUCUUACGGGUAAAUAACUACCACCAACACUUCAUUUCUUACAGAUUGUGAUAGUAGAACCCCCAUACAAUUUUUAGGAUUUUUUCAGUCAGUAACUUGGAAAAAUUACUUAAAAAAAACUAGUAUUGCAAAGAUGUAUGUGCAUGGGCCCCGUUUGUCAGUGACACAACUAGUGGUAUUUUUGUGGGGUCCUCCCUCUGUUCAAAUGCUUAUGAAAACUACCCUAGUUUACAUUGUUGCUUUUCAUGUUUUAUUGUGAUUAUGUAGUUGCAAUGUUUCCCAUUUACUUCAGAUCCUUCAUUUUAUACACAUGGCUUGGAUGGAUCGGUCUGAGUGUUAUGAUCUGCCAGAAAUUAUUUGGAGAGCUAGGCUCAUUAGUACCAACGAGAUAUCCAGUUUUCUGAAGGAGAAUAAUACUUUACCUGCCAAUGAUGGAGUCGAUGUUCGUAGGAUGAAUGCUAUUGGAACAUGGUUACGUGAAAUUCGAGAAACUGGGUAAGUCUUCUGCUUCACAGCUGUUUGUCAAACCGAUUCUAUUGUUUCAACAGAGAUAUAAAAUUGUAUUCCGGUUGCAUUAGUGAUUUCCGUAUCGUUAAAUUGUGCGUUUAUGUUCAAAUCAGUAUUUAAUACCCUAGAAAGGAGGUUCUAAAGUGCAUUCGCUCCUAGCCAGAUGACAGCUUCCCUCUGAUCUUUCAAUUGUCUGUGUGUUUGAAAGAUGUUAUUUUGUAUAAUGUUGCAGGUAUAAUAUCAUAGGCUUGUGCGCGUCUGUUGAAAGAUCAAUGUUUGGAUUGGACUGUUCUCUUUUCAUCGAUACUCUUGCAAUGGAUAUAAGCUUCAUGGAUUUUGAUCAUGUGGGGAAACUCAUACAGCUCACCUUCAUUCCAUUAGUCAGUUGUUGCCCUCGAGGAUGUUGGGACAAAUGGGUGGUGUUGUUGUUGGAACCUUUAUUUUUCUACUGUGACGAUACCUUUGGUUAUGCGUGGCUCAGUCUUAUACAUGAGGGACGAGCUGAAGUACCAGCUUACUUUGGCAAUCUCUAUGGACCGGAAGAAAAAGUCAAGAAAUUAGAAGUGGAGCUGUUGCUUAAAUUCACUCGUUCUGUAUCUUGUUUGCUCGGGGUUUUAGCAUCAGAAGAACUUAAUAGUGGCCUUCCGCAGUUGAAUUGCCCAAAGUCUGACUUGAAAUCCAUAUCUUCCAGCUCCCUUUUAGGGUAUGAACGUCAUUCAGUUGUGUUUUCUGCGUGUGAUUUCUACACAUUUACUUACUCUUUAGUACUGCUUCUUGUAGGUAUAUUUUACUUCACAAUUGCUUUUGGAGGUUUAGUAUGUACUUGUUCGGGUAUUUGGUGGAUUAUCAAGCAGCUAAGGAAGCACUACCCUUUUGUCAUGCAUUGAUCCGCCUUGCCGUUGCUACUGAUGACGAGAGACUGAAACAGUUUAUUCUUGAUGAAAUGCUUCCGACUCUUGUCCGGUUUGAUGAUAGGAGUCCUCAAAGUGGAAUCUCACGGUUAAGAUCGGAGUUAAGUUCAAGCAUAGAAAUGACUUCUAUGGAUGAUGUUGUUUGUCUUUGUCGGGAAAUAUAUGAAGUUUACUUGCACAAUUAGGUAAGUUAUGAAUGUAUCUAUUUCUAUUGUAUACUUGUAAUUUGUUGUGAUCUCAAGGGUUGUAGCCAUAUGUGCGCUCAAAAGAUCCAAAUAUGUAUGCUAACUGGUAAUUUCUUUCUGCCAAAGAUACCUCUCUUGAGCCUUAGGAACUUGGUGGCUAUAAGGUCUAGUUUUGACAAUGGCAUGACAUAGCUGCUUGUGGAUUCAUUUGUUAUCUAGCUGAAUACUGGCUGCUGAUGGACCAAUUCUUUUAGAUGCUUCUGAGUAAACUGCAUUAAAUCAAAUAGCAUGUUGACAUUUCCGUGAUUGAAAUGUUUUACUUUUAAGUCCAAAAUCUAAUUAUGUCUGAUCAUAUGCACCACGAGAGCACUCUAGCAACAUAGCUAUCUGGUUGCUGGUCGUCCUGGAUUUUCCAUUUAGCUUCCUAUAGUAUGAUGUGCCAUAGGAGCUGUGAGAUAUUUUUGUAAAGGUUAACGUAAGUCACAAGCAUAUAGCUGUUUAUGCUGCAUGUUUUCCCAUUGACUUGGCUCCAGCUGACCUCCCUGUGUCACAGGUUAGUUUCUGGUCCAUCUUGCCAACUAAACAUGCACACCCAGGCUAAAUCCAUAUGCUCAGCGGUGCAUGAUGCGUUGACAGCGACCAUUCAGGGGAGAACCAGAAUUGGAGACGUGCAAGAAACACCAAAUAGGGACUAAAAUAAACAUCUACUCCCUCCGUCUCAUAAUAUAAGAGGGUAGUGUAAAAAAUGCUCUUAUAUGAUGGGACGGAGACACGGAGGGAAUAGCUUCAAUCUUAGUGCGCUUGUUUGCUGUGCCCCCAGCGCGUUCGUGAACUUGGCUGUGUCUGGCAUUAACCUUUUCUUUUCCAAGCAAAGUUCAGUUCAGUCAAACACUGUAAGUGAAUUCUGCUAUGACAUAUGUAUUUGACCUAAUUACAAUUAUGAAGGGGGAACAGGAGGACAGAAAGAUGUGUACGGAUGGAUUCAGUGAUUGGUUCGAAAAGGAAUUGGAGGAUCUUCAUAGAGUGCGUCUUUGCCUGCUCCAAUUUUUUUUCCAAAGUACCUUGUGUGGAAUUGGCAGGUGAGUUCUCCUAUUCUUCUUAUAAUCCUGUCUCUAACAUUCAAAGAAGUUACUUGGCUUACUUCUCGUGCUCGUUUUUCUUCACAAUAUGUUCCGUUUUGUGCUUUGAGCAGUUUAAUGAAGAAUGUGACAGAUAUUUCCCUACCUAUUUGGAAAUGCUGCAUGAAGUGGAUACAAUGAAUGACUGUCUAGCGGUAAUUUUUGCUCCAUCAUGUGAUUUUCAUUGUUAAGCACAUAACUAUCCGAUGUUAAAUAAAAUGCUCAGUUGUGUCUGUCUGACCAUGUGCUCAAGGAAACAUGUUUUUUGGUGUCCAUACGCUUGUGUUGUAUGCCUUCUACUUUAUAGUAAUCGUCCAUUUUUUACUAGCCUAGGCAUGUGCAAAGAAUUUACUGUAUUAUGUUGUGGAUUCACAGAAAAGCCCAUAAAAUCUCUGCCCUGUCAGUCUAUACGCCUUUUGGCCCCAACUUACAGGUUGAACUUUUCAUCGUCCGUCCAAGACAAAAUCACUUGUAGGCUGUCACAAUCAAAUAAAGACUAGUAUGAAAAAAAGGUGUUUCUAAAACUGUAAAAUUUUGUGUGAAGAUGGCCUGUUCUCUAGUGUUAGGAAAAGCUGCUAGUCUGAAAGAUUUAUUUUGCUAUAGGCUUGGAUCUCAAUAGAUAAACAAGAUAAAAUUCCAGUAACGACAAUGUUGGAAUGGGGAGGCAAUGAUUCUUUUUGAUGAGUUUAUUUUGAUUCUCAGUUUUAUUUUAUCUGCCUUUUUAGCCCGUCAGGACUACGUUCGCUAUUGGUAGAACCAGGGGUCCUACCGGAUCUGCUCCGGAGGUUGUAGGGGAAGGAUGGAGUGGGACGGGGCGAUGAUCGGGCGCGCCGGCGGCUGGGCGCCGUCGCGUCGAAGGGAGAUGGCGGCAGCGGCUAGGGUUAGAGGCGGCUAGGGUUCCGGCUCCUCUGGGAGCCGAGGAGCCGGGCAAUAGGGAUAAUAAUAUUCUUAUUGCUUAAUUCCAAAAAGAGUCUUAUAGCCUAUAUUUAUAACCUAGAUAACUUGCAUAAGAAUUAACCUAAGAUAACUUGUGGGCUAAGAUUGCCUGGUGGGCCUAGCUAAACCGGCCAUAACACUUCUCCCCGCCUGCACAAACAGCUCGUCCUCGAGCUGUAAGGUGGGGAAGCGCCUGCGGAACUCCUCGAGGCGAUCAACCAGUGUCAAACACCUUCUCGACAGCUGGGGCGGCCAGGUCGGCGGCGACGGUGUCCUCCGGAAUGUAGUCUGCAACCUCCAGGUAGAAGAGUCGCGGGCAGGCAUGACCGGGCGUGUAGGGCUCGUCGGAGUUGAAGCACAACCCUUGACGGCGACGCUCGAGUAGCUCGGCUGAGGUGAGCCGGCGGAACGGGCGCGCCGCGGUCGCGGCGAGGGGUGCCGCAGAAGCCUGCGCAGGCCGACCCUGCGCGGAAUCCGGCCCGGAUAGCGACCCAGUAGUCCGGAACGGUGAUUCUUGCUGGAUGGCCACCGCGCGGCGCUCGAACGCGCGGGCGUAGUACAUGGCCGACUGGAGAUCUUGGGAUCCCUGAAGCUCCACGUCCACACGGAUGUGAUCCGGAAGUCCACCGACAAAGAGGUCGGCCCGCUGCUGCGCUGUCAUGCCCGACGCAUGGCAUGCCGGGGCCUGGAAACGGUCGGCGAAGUCCUGCACCGUGGAGGUGAAGGGAAGGCGGCUCCCGCGAACCGGAGGCCCAAAGCGAAGGAGGCAGAGCUCGCGGAAGCGCUCCCAAGGGGGCAUGCUGCCCUCGUCCUGCUCGAGGGCGUAGUACCAGGUUUGGGCUGCACCGCGGAGGUGGUAGGAUGCCAGCCAAGUGCGCUCCGACGCGAGCGUGCGCUGGCCACGGAAAAACUGCUCACACUGGUUGAGCCAGUUAAGCGGGUCCUCCGUGCCGUCAUAAGUGGCGAAAUUGAUCUUGGCGAACCGUGGCGGCGUCUGGGUCGGCACGCCAUGGCCGGCCGGCUCGGUGGUGCGGAGCAGUGAUGAUGACGGUGCCCGGUCCACGGUGGGAAGGCCGUCGUAGGCCCUCGUGGAGCCGGACGAGGCCCCAGACUGCAGCGUGGGUACCGGUGGGUCCCCGGCCUCUGUGUAAACUGGCGGUGGCGACGUCCCGGUUAGCGAGGCUGGGAUCGGGGACGGCGACGGCAGAAACCGGACCUGCUGGAUCGGAAGUCCUCCUGGUGUGGAAUGGCCCAGUCCGGAGCUGGGCGGCGACGGUGGCAGCUGGACCGGUGCGGGCGGCGCGGCUGGGGCCGGCGCGGGCCACUACGACGCUGGGGCGGGCGCGGGAGGCGCGGGUGGCGCCGCGAGAACCGGCGCGGGACACUACGGCUAGGAUGGCCGGCGGCUGGAGCGACGGAUGGGCCCCGACGAUCGCUGCAGGUACCGAGUACCAGGGCAGGUGCAGCAGCGGCGGGGGCCCGCCGGUGUAGCCCGCCUACAACGGCAACAGGGGCGUCCCGCUCGGGCCCGACGUGUUUUGGAUCAGCCAGUGCGUCGCCGGGUGGCUGUAGGCGGGGGGUGCAGCCGGCGGGGUGGUGUGCGGGCUGGCCAAGUACAUGGAGAUGCCCUGGACGGCCGUCACGAGGUCCCGCAGGGUGCUGGUCAUCUCCGGCGUGAAGACGGAGAUUGUCGGCGGUGCGGAAGUGACGGGGGCCGGCGGCGCGGAGGUGAUUGGGGUCGGCGGCGUUGGGGACCUAGCAGUGGUCAUCGGGGCGGUGGUGAUGAUGGGCAGUGGCGGUGUGGGUGUUGAUUGUUGGGGAACGUAGUAAUUUCAAAAAAUUUCCUACGCACACGCAAGAUCAUGUGAUGCAUAGCAACGAGGGGGAGAGUAUUGUCUACGUACCCAACGCAGACCGACUGCGGAAGCGAUGACACGACGUAGAGGAAGUAGUCGUACGUCUUCACGAUCCAACCGAUCAAGCACCGAAACUACGGCACCUCCGAGUUCGAGCACACGUUCAGCUCGAUGACGAUCCCCGGACUCCGAUCCAGCAAAGUGUCGGGGAAGAGUUCCGUCAGCACGACGGCGUGGUGACGAUCUUGAUGAACUACAGCAGCAGGGCUUCGCCUAAACUCCGCUAUAGUAUUACCGAGGAAUAAGGUGGCAGGGGGCACCGCACACGGCUAAGGAACAGAUCACGUGGAUCAACUUGUGUGUCUAGAGGUGCCCCCUGCCUCCGUAUAUAAAGGAUGGAGGAGGAGGAGGCCGGCCAAGGCAAAGGUGCGGCCAGGAUAGGGAGUCCUACUAGGACUCCAAGUCCUAGUAGGAGUCCACCAAGAGAGGAGGAAGGGAGAAGGAAUAGGAGGAAAAGGAGAGGUGGCCGGCCCCCUUUUCCCUAGUCCAAUUCGGACCAAAGGGGAGGGGGGGCGCAGCAGCCUUUUUCCUCUUCCCACUAAAGCCCAUCAAGGCCCAUUACUUCUCCCGUAACUACCCGGUACUCCGAAAAAUACCCGAAUCAUUCGGAACCUUUCCGAUGUCCGAAUAUAGUCGUCCAAUAUAUCGAUCUUUACGUCUUGACCAUUUCGAGACUCCUCGUCAUGUCCCCGAUCUCAUCCGGGACUCCGAACUCCUUCGGUACAUCAAAACUCAUAAACUCAUAAUAUAACUGUCAUCGAAACCUUAAGCGUGCGGACCCUACGGGUUCGAGAACAAUGUAGAUAUGACCGAGACACGUCUCCGGUCAAUAACCAAUAGCGGGACCUGGAUGUCCAUAUUGGCUCCUACAUAUUCUACGAAGAUCUUUAUCGGUCAGACCCAUAACAACAUACGUUGUUCCCUUUGUCAUCGGUAUGUUACUUGCCCGAGAUUCGAUCGUCGGUAUCCAAUACCUAGUUCAAUCUCGUUACCGGCAAGUCUCUUUACUCGUUCCGUAAUACAUCAUCUCACAACUAACAUAUUAGUUGUAAUGCUUGCAAGGCUUAUGUGAUGUGUAUUACCGAGAGGGCCCAGAGAUACCUCUCCGACAAUCGGAGUGACAAAUCCUAAUCUCGAAAUACGCCAACCCAACAUCUACCUUUGGAGACACCUGUAAUGCUCCUUUAUAAUCACCCAGUUACGUUGUGACGUUUGGUAGCACGCAAAGUGUUCCUCCGGCAAACGGGAGUUGCAUAAUCUCAUAGUCAUAGGAACAUGUAUAAGUCAUGAAGAAAGCAAUAGCAACAUACUAAACGAUCGUGUGCUAAGCUAAUGGAAUGGGUCAUGUCAAUCAGAUCAUUCAACUAAUGAUGUGACCUCUUUAAUCAAAUAACAACUCAUUGUUCAUGGUUAGGAAACAUAACCAUCUUUGAUUAACGAGCUAGUCAAGUAGAGGCAUACUAGUGACACUUUGUUUGUCUAUGUAUUCACACAUGUAUUAUGUUUCCGAUUAAUACAAUUCUAGCAUGAAUAAUAAACAUUUAUCAUGAUUAUAAGGAAAUAAAUAAUAACUUUAUUAUUGCCUCUAGGGCAUAUUUCCUUCAGUCUCCCACUUGCACUAGAGUCAAUAAUCUAGAUUACACUGUAAUGAUUCUAACACCCAUGGAGCUUUGGUGCUGAUCAUGUUUUGCUCGUGGAAGAGGCUUAGUCAACGGGUUUGCAACAUUCAGAUCCGUAUGGAUCUUGCAAAUCUCUAUGUCUCCCACCUGGACUAGAUCCCGGAUGGAAUUGAAGCGUCUCUUGAUGUGUUUGGUCCUUUUGUGAAAUCUGGAUUCCUUUGCCAAGGCAAUUGCACCAGUGUUGUCACAAAAGAUUUUCAUUGGACCCGAUGCACUAGGUAUGACACCUAGAUCGGAUAUGAACUCCUUCAUCCAGACUCCUUCAUUUGCUGCUUCCGAAGCAGCUAUGUACUCCGCUUCACAUGUAGAUCCCGCUACGACGCUUUGUUUAGAACUGCACCAACUGACAGCUCCACCGUUUAAUGUAAACACGUAUCCGGUUUGCGAUUUAGAAUCAUCCGGAUCAGUGUCAAAGCUUGCAUCAACGUAACCUUUUAAAGUGAGCUCUUUGUCACCUCCAUAUACGAGAAACAUAUCCUUAGUCCUUUUCAGGUAUUUCAGGAUGUUCUUGACCGCUGUCCAGUGAUCCACUCCUGGAUUACUUUGGUACCUCCCUGCUAAACUUAUAGCAAGGCACACAUCAGGUCUGGUACACAGCAUUGCAUACAUGAUAGAGCCUAUGGCUGAUGCAUAGGGAACAUCUUUCAUAUUCUCUCUAUCUUCUGCAGUGGUCGGGCAUUGAGUCUUACUCAACUUCACACCUUGUAACACAGGCAAGAAUCCUUUCUUUGCUUGAUCCAUUUUGAACUUCUUCAAAAUUUUGUCAAGGUAUGUGCUUUGUGAAAGUCCAAUUAAGCGUCUUGAUCUAUCUCUAUAGAUCUUAAUGCCUAAUAUGUAAGCAGCUUCACCGAGGUCUUUCAUUGAAAAACUUUUAUUCAAGUAUUCCUUUAUGCUAUCCAGAAAUUCUAUAUCAUUUCCAAUCAGUAAUAUGUCAUCCACAUAUAAUAUCAGAAAUGCUACAGAGCUCCCACUCACUUUCUUGUAAAUACAGACUUCUCCGAAAGUCUGUAUAAAACCAAAUGCUUUGAUCACACUAUCAAAACGUUUAUUCCAACUCCGAGAGGCUUGCACCAGUCCAUAAAUGGAUCGCUGGAGCUUGCACACUUUGUUAGCUCCCUUUGGAUCGACAAAACCUUCCGGUUGCAUCAUGUACAACUCUUCUUCCAGAAAUCCAUUCAGGAAUGCAGUUUUGACAUCCAUCUGCCAAAUUUCAUAAUCAUAAAAUGCGGCAAUCCCUAACAUGAUUCGGACAGACUUAAGCAUUGCUACGGGUGAGAAAGUCUCAUCGUAGUCAACCCCUUGAACUUGUCGAAAACCUUUUGCGACAAGUCGAGCUUUGUAGACAAUAACAUUACCAUCAGCGUCAGUCUUCUUCUUGAAGAUCCAUUUAUUCUCAAUUGCUUGCCGAUCAUCGGGCAAGUCAACCAAAGUCCAUACUUUGUUCUCAUACAUGGAUCCCAUCUCAGAUUUCAUGGCUUCAAGCCACUUUGUGGAAUCUGGGCUCACCAUCGCUUCUUCAUAGUUCGUAGGUUCAUCAUGAUCUAGUAGCAUGACUUCCAGAACAGGAUUACCGUACCACUCUGGUGCGGAUCUUACUCUGGUUGAUCUACGAGGUUCAGUAGUAUCUUGUUCUGAAGUUUCAUGAUCAUUAUCAUUAACUUCCUCACUUAUUGGUGUAAGUGUCGCAGAAACAGUUUUCUGUGAUGUACUACUUUCCAAUAAGGGAGCAGGUACAGUUACCUCGUCAAGUUCUACUUUCCUCCCACUCACUUCUUUCGAGAGAAACUCCUUCUCAAGAAAGUUUCCGAAUUUAGCAACAAAAGUCUUGCCUUCGGAUCUGUGAUAGAAGGUGUAUCCAAUAGUUUCCUUUGGAUAUCCUAUGAAGACACAUUUCUCCGAUUUGGGUUCAAGCUUAUCAGGUUGAAGCUUUUUCACAUAAGCAUCGCAGCCCCAAACUUUCAGAAACGACAACUUUGGUUUCUUGCCAAACCACAGUACAUAAGGUGUCGUCUCAACGGAUUUUGAUGGUGCCCUAUUUAACGUGAAUGCGGCCGUCUCUAGAGCGUAUCCUCAAAAUGAUAGCGGUAAAUCAGUAAGAGACAUCAUAGAUCGCACCAUAUCUAGUAAAGUACGAUUACGACGUUCAGACACACCAUUACGCUGUGGUGUUCCGGGUGGCGUGAGUUGCGAAACUAUUCCACAGUUUUUCAAAUGUACACCAAACUCGUAACUCAAAUAUUCUCCUCCACGAUCAGAUCGUAGAAACUUUAUUUUCUUGUUACGAUGAUUUUCAACUUCACUCUGAAAUUCUUUGAACUUUUCAAAUGUUUCAGACUUAUGUUUCAUUAAGUAGAUAUAUCCAUAACUGCUCAAAUCAUCUGUGAAGGUGAGAAAAUAACGAUAUCCGCCACGAGCCUCAAUAUUCAUCGGACCACAUACAUCGGUAUGUAUGAUUUCCAACAAAUCUGUUGCUCUCUCCAUAGUACCGGAGAACGGUGUUUUAGUCAUCUUGCCCAUGAGGCACGGUUCGCAAGUACCAAGUGAUUCAUAAUCAAGUGGUUCCAAAAGUCCAUCAGUAUGGAGUUUCUUCAUGCGCUUUACACCGAUAUGACCUAAACGACAGUGCCACAAAUAAGUUGCACUUUCAUUAUCAACUCUGCAUCUUUUGGCUUCAACAUUAUGAAUAUGUGUAUUACUACUAUCGAGAUUCAAUAAAAAUAGACCACUCUUCAAGGGUGCAUGACCAUAAAAGAUAUUACUCAUAUAAAUAGAACAACCAUUAUUCUCUGAUUUAAAUGAAUAACCGUCUCGCAUUAAACAAGAUCCAGAUAUAAUGUUCAUGCUCAAUGCUGGCAUCAAAUAACAAUUAUUUAGGUCUAAUAUUAAUCCCGAAGGUAGAUGUAGAGGUAGCGUGCCGACCGCGAUCACAUCGACUUUGGAACCGUUUCCCACGCGCAUCGUCACCUCGUCCUUAGCCAAUCUUCGCUUAAUCCGUAGCCCCUGUUUCGAGUUGCAAAUAUUAGCAAGAGAACCAGUAUCAAAUACUCAGGUGCUACUGCGAGCAUUAGUAAGGUACACAUCAAUAACAUGUAUAUCACAUAUACCAUUGUUCACCUUGCCAUCCUUCUUAUCCGCCAAAUACUUUGGGCAGUUCCGCUUCCAGUGACCAGUCUGCUUACAGUAGAAGCACUCAGUUUCAGGCUUAGGUCCAGACUUGGGUUUCUUCUCUUGAGCAGCAACUUGUUUGCCGUUCUUCUUGAAGUUCCCCUUCUUCUUCCCUUUGCCCUUUUUCUUGAAACUAGUGGUUUUGUUUACCAUCAACACUUGAUGCUCCUUUUUGAUUUCUACCUCUGCAGCUUUCAGCAUUGCGAAGAGUUCGGGAAUAGUCUUGUUCAUCCCUUGUAUAUUAUAGUUCAUCACGAAGCUCUUGUAGCUUGGUGGCAGUGAUUGGAGAAUUCUGUCAAUGACGCAAUCAUCUGGAAGAUUAACUCCCAAUUGAAUCAAGUGAUUAUUAUACCCAGACAUUUUGAGUAUAUGCUCACUGAUAGAAUUGUUCUCCUCCAUCUUGCAGCUAUAGAACUUAUUGGAGACUUCAUAUCUCUCAAUUCGGGCAUUUGCUUGAAAUAUUAAUUUCAACUCCUGAAACAUCUCAUAUGCUCCAUGACGUUCAAAACGUCGUUGAAGUCCUGAUUCUAAGCCGUAAAGCAUGGCACACUGAACUAUCGAGUAGUCAUCAGCUUUGCUCUGCCAGACGUUCAUAACAUUUGGUGUUGCUCCAGCAGCAGGCCUGGCACCCAGCGGUGCUUCCAGGACGUAAUUCUUCUGUCCAGCAAUGAGGAUAAUCCUCAAGUUACGGACCCAGUCCGUGUAAUUGCUACCACCAUCUUUCAACUUUGCUUUCUUAAGGAACGCAUUAAAAUUCAACGGAACAACAGCACGAGCCAUCUAUCUACAAUCAACAUAAAUAAGCAAGAUACUAUCAGGUACUAAGUUCAUGAUAAAUUUAGUUCAAUUAAUCAUAUUACUUAAGAACUCCCACUUAGAUAGACAUCCCUCUAAUCCUCUAAGUGAUCACGUGAUCCAAAUCAACUAAACCAUGUCCGAUCAUCACGUGAGAUGGAGUAGUUUCAUCGGUGAACAUCAUUAUGUUGAUCAUAUCUACUAUAUGAUUCACGCUCGACCUUUCGGUCUCCGUGUUCCGAGGCCAUAUCUGUAUAUGCUUGGCUCGUCAAGUAUAACCUGAGUAUUCCGCGUGUGCAACUGUUUUGCACCCGUUGUAUUUGAACGUAGAGCCUAUCACACCCGAUCAUCACGUGGUGUCUCAGCACGAAGAACUUUCGCAACGGUGCAUACUCAGGGAGAACACUUCUUGAUAAUUUAGUGAGAGAUCAUCUUAUAAUGCUACCGUCAAUUAAAGCAAGAUAAGAUGCAUAAAAAGAUAAACAUCACAUGCAAUCAAUAUAAGUGAUAUGAUAUGGCCAUCAUCAUCUUGUGCUUGUGAUCUCCAUCUCCGAAGCACCGUCAUGAUCACCAUCGUCACCGGCGCGACACCUUGAUCUCCAUCGUAGCAUCGUUGUCGUCUCGUCAAUCUUAUGCUUCCACGACUAUCACUACCGUUUAGUAAUAAAGUAAAGCAUUACAUCGCGAUUGCAUUGCAUACAAUAAAGCGACAACCAUAUGGCUCCUGCCAGUUGCCGAUAACUUGGUUACAAAACAUGAUCAUCUCAUACAAUAAAAUUCAGCAUCAUGCCUUGACCAUAUCACAUCACAACAUGCCCUGCAAAAACAAGUUAGACGUCCUCUACUUUGUUGUUGCAUGUUUUACGUGGCUGCUACGGGCUAAAGUAAGAACCAAUCUCACCUACGCAUCAAAACCACAACGAUAGUUUGUCAAAUAGACUCCGUUUUAACCUUCGCAAGGACCGGGCGUAGCCACACUCGGUUCAACUAAAGUUGGAGAGACAGUCGCCCGCAAGCCAUCUAUGUGCAAAGCACGUCGAGGGAACCGGUCUCGUGUAAGCGUACGCGUAAGGUUGGUCCGGGUCGUCUCGUCCAACAAUACCGCCGAACCAAAGUAUGACAUGCUGGUAGGCAGUAUGACUUGUAUCGUCCACAACUCACUUGUGUUCUACUCGUGCAUAUAACAUCAACAUAAAUAACCUAGGCUCUGAUACCACUGUUGGGGAACGUAGUAAUUUUAAAAAUUUUCCUACGCACACGCAAGAUCAUGUGAUGCAUAGCAACGAGGGGGAGAGUAUUGUCUACGUACCCAACGCAGACCGACUGUGAAAGCGAUGACACGACGUAGAGGAAGUAGUCGUACGUCUUCACGAUCCAACCGAUCAAGCACCGAAACUACGGCACCUCCGAGUUCGAGCACACGUUCAGCUCGAUGACGAUCCCCGGACUCCGAUCCAGCAAAGUGUCGGGGAAGAGUUUCGUCAGCACGAGGGGUGGUGACGAUCUUGAUGAACUAUAGCAGCAGGGCUUCGCCUAAACUCCGCUACAGUAUUAUCGAGGAAUAUGGUGGCAGGGGGCACCGCACACGGCUAAGGAACAGAUCACGUGGAUCAACUUGUGUGUCUAGAGGUGCCCCCUGCCUCCGUAUAUAAAGGAUGGAGGAGGAGGAGGCCGGCCAAGGCAAAGGUGCGGCCAGGAUAGGGAGUCCUACUAGGACUCCAAGUCCUAGUAGGAGUCCACCAAGAGGGGAGGAAGGGAGAAGGAAUAGGAGGAAAAGGAGAGGUGGCCGGCCCCCUUUUCCCUAGUCCAAUUCGGACCAAAGGGGAGGGGGGGGGGCGCAGCAGCCUUUUUCCUCUUCCCACUAAAGCCCAUCAAGGCCCAUUACUUCUCCCGUAACUACCCGGUACUCCGAAAAAUACCCGAAUCAUUCGGAACCUUUCCGAUGUCCGAAUAUAGUCGUCCAAUAUAUCGAUCUUUACGUCUUGACCAUUUCGAGACUCCUCGUCAUGUCCCCGAUCUCAUCCGGGACUCCGAACUCCUUCGGUACAUCAAAACUCAUAAACUCAUAAUAUAACUGUCAUCGAAACCUUAAGCGUGCGGACCCUACGGGUUCGAGAACAAUGUAGACAUGACCGAGACACGUCUCCGGUCAAUAACCAAUAGCGGGACCUGGAUGCCCAUAUUGGCUCCUACAUAUUCUACGAAGAUCUUUAUCGGUCAGACCGCAUAACAACAUACGUUGUUCCCUUUGUCAUCGGUAUGUUACUUGCCCGAGAUUCGAUCGUCGGUAUCCAAUACCUAGUUCAAUCUCGUUACCGGCAAGUCUCUUUCUCGUUCCGUAAUACAUCAUCUCACAACUAACAUAUUAGUUGUAAUGCUUGCAAGGCUUAUGUGAUGUGUAUUACCGAGAGGGCCCAGAGAUACCUCUCCGACAAUCAGAGUGACAAAUCCUAAUCUCGAAAUACGCCAACCCAACAUCUACCUUUGGAGACACCUGUAAUGCUCCUUUAUAAUCACCCAGUUACGUUGUGACGUUUGGUAGCACCCAAAGUGUUCCUCCGGCAAACGGGAGUUGCAUAAUCUCAUAGUCAUAGGAACAUGUAUAAGUCAUGAAGAAAGCAAUAGCAACAUACUAAACGAUCGUGUGCUAAGCUAAUGGAAUGGGUCAUGUCAAUCAGAUCAUUCAACUAAUGAUGUGACCUCUUUAAUCAAAUAACAACUCAUUGUUCAUGGUUAGGAAACAUAACCAUCUUUGAUUAACGAGCUAGUCAAGUAGAGGCAUACUAGUGACACUUUGUUUGUCUAUGUAUUCACACAUGUAUUAUGUUUCCGAUUAAUACAAUUCUAGCAUGAAUAAUAAACAUUUAUCAUGAUUAUAAGGAAAUAAAUAAUAACUUUAUUAUUGCCUCUAGGGCAUAUUUCCUUCAUUGAUGACAACAUGAUCGAACCCGAGUCUCUGGAUACCAAAUUGGUAGAACCAGGGGUCCUACCGGAUCUACUCCGGAGGUUGUAGGCGAAGGAUGGUGUGGGACGGGGCGAUGAUCGGGCGCGCCAGCGGCUGGGCGCCGUCGCGUCGGAGGGAGAUGGCGGUAGCGGCUAGGGUUAGAGGCGGCUAGGGUUUCGGCUCCUCUGGGAGACGGGCAAUAGGGAUAAUAAUAUUCUUAUUGCUUAAUUCCAAAAAGAGUCUUACAGCCUAUAUUUAUAACCUAGAUAACUUGCAUAAGAAUUAACCUACAAUAACUUGUGGGCUAAGAUUGCCUGGUGGGCCUAGCUAAACCGGCCAUAACACUUCUCCCUGCCUGCACAAACAGCUCGUCCUCGAGCUGUAAGGUGGGGAAGCGCUUGCGGAACUCCUCGAGGCGAUCAACCAGUGUCAAACACCUUCUCGACAGCUGGGGCAGCCAGGUCGGCGGCGACGGCGUCCUCCGGAAUGUAGUUUGCAACCUCCAGGUAGAAGAGUCGCGGGCAGGCAUGGCCGGGCGUGUAGGGCUCGUCGCAGUUGAAGCACAACCCUUGGCGGCGACGCUCGAGUAGCUCGGCUGAGGUGAGCCGGCGGAACGGGCGCGCCGCGGUCGCGGCGAGGGGUGCCGCAGAAGCCUGCGCAAGCCGACCCUGCGCGGAAUCCGGCCUGGAUAGCGACCCAGUGGUCCGGAACGGUGAUUCCUGUUGGAUGGCCACCGCGCGGCGCUCGAACUCGCGGGCGUAGUACAUGGCCGACUGGAGAUCUUGGGGUCCCCGAAGCUCCACGUCCACACGGAUGUGAUCCGGAAGUCCACCGGCAAAGAGGUCGGCCCGCUGCUGCGCCGUCAUGCCCGACGCAUGGCAUGCCAGGGCCUGGAAACGGUCGGCGAAGUCCUGCACCAUGGAGGUGAAGGGAAGGCGGCUCCCGCGAACCGGAGGCCCAAAGCGAAGGAGGCAGAGCUCGCGGAAGCGCUCCCAAGGGGGCAUGCUGCCCUCGUCCUGCUUGAGGGCGUAGUACCAGGUCCGGGCUGCACCGCGGAGGUGGUAGGAUGCCAGCCAAGUGCGCUCCGACGCGAGCGUGCGCUGGCCACGGAAAAACUGCUCACACUGGUUGAGCCAGUUAAGCGGGUCCUCCAUGCCGUCAUAAGUGGCGAAAUUGAUCUUGGCGAACCGUGGCGGCGUCUGGGUCGGCGCGCCAUGGCCGGCCGGCUCGGCGAUGCGGAGCAAUGAUGAUGACGGCGCCCGGUCCACGGUGGGGAGGCCGUCGUAGGCCCUCGCAGAGCCGGACGAGGCCCCAGACUGCAGCGUGGGUACCGGUGGGUCCCCGGCCUCUGUGUAAACUGGCGCUGGCGACGUCCCGGUUAGCGAGGCUGGGAUCGGGGACGGCGACGACAGAAACCGGACCUGCUGGAUUGGAAGUCCUCCUGGUGUGGACUGGCCCAGUCCGGAGCUGGGCGGCGGCGGUGGGAGCUGGACCGGUGCGGGCGGCGCGGCUGGGGCCAGCGCGGGCCACUGCGGCGCUGGGGCGGGCGCGGGAGGCGCGGGUGGCGCCGCGAGAACCGGCGCGAGCCACUGCGGCUAGGACGGCGCUGGGACGGCCGGCGGCUGGAGCGACGGAUGGGCCCCGACGAUCGCUGCAGGUACCGAGUACCAGGGCAGGUGCAGCAGCGGCGGGGGCCCGCCGGUGUAGCCCGCCUAGAACGGCAGCAGGGGCGUCCCGCUCAGGCCCAACGCGUUCUGGAUCAGCCAGUGCGUCGUCGGGUGGCUGUAGGCGGGGGGCGCAGCCGGCGGGGUGGUGUGCGGGCCGGCCAAGUACAGGGAGAUGCCCUGGACGGCCGUCACGAGGUCCCAUAGGGUGCUGGUCAUCUCCUCCGGCGUGAAGACGGAGGUUGUCGGCAGCGCGGAAGUGACGGGGGCCGACGGUGUUAGGGACCUAGCAGUGGUCAUCGGGGCGGUGGUGAUGAUGGGCAUCGGCGGCGUGGGUGUUGAUGACGACAUGAUCGAACCCGAGUCUCUGGAUACCAAAUUGGUAGAACCAGGGGUCCUACCGGAUCUGCUCCGGAGGUUGUAGGGGAAGGAUGGAGUGGGACGGGGCGAUGAUCGGGCACGCCGGCGGCUGGGCGCCGUCGCGUCGGAGGGAGAUGGCGGCAGCGGCUAGGGUUAGAGGCGGCUAGGGUUCCGGCUCCUCUGGGAGCCGGGCAAUAGGGAUAAUAAUAUUCUUAUUGCUUAAUUUCAAAAAGAGUCUUACAGCCUAUAUUUAUAAGCUAGAUAACUUGCAUAAAAAUUAACCUAAGAUAACUUGCAUAAGAAUUAACCUAAGAUAACUUGUGGGCUAAGAUUGCCCGGUGGGCCUAGCAAAACCGGCCAUAACAGCUAUUUUCGAAAUUCCACAAAUUGCUCUAGAGAUAGAGCUAGAAAAAACUUGUUGGACUACUGACACAACAGGAGCCUCGAGUAGUACCUUUGGGAGCUGCCUCCAAAAGCUUGUUUUGUACCAUAAGUUUGUGGGGAUUUAAGAACGCUACGUUUCCUCUGAUGUUAUGUUUUGUUAAUAAAACGGUAAGUUGAACUAAUGAACAAGUCACUUGCAGCAUAAAAUUGAUAAUCUUCUUGAGAGAUUGAAGCCAGAGUUUAAGGCGAGGUAUGCCAUUAACAGCUUGCAGCAUCCUUAUUUGCGAAGCAUGUCUCGUAUGCUACAGGUGAGUCUAUUGUAUUCUUGACAACCUUCAGCUUGCAACAUGCACGUGCAUUUCUCCCCUUUGUGAUGUUAGUUUAUUUUUUAUUUUUUUGUUUUCAAGAGAAAGGAGCUUGGUGUAUGGAAAUGUUAUCAGAGACGUUCUGAUGAGAUCUACAAGUUUUUGGUCCAACUUAUCGAGCUGAAACCUUACAUUAAGGUAUUUGGCCUGAUCCUUAUUUUUCAGCAAGGGACAUUCCUAACUUCCCCUGGAUCAUUUACAGCGAACUGAUUGUUGGGAUGAUGUUAUGGACCGUCUUGGGAAAAACUGUAAUGUAGAAAACCUUUGGCCAAGUGAGGCACCAAGGGCAAUUGAUGUAAGUAUUAGUUUCCUCUGUACUCCAUUUAACUAAAGGCUAAUCUAACUAUAUCUCCUCUUGUAGAUUUUCCUUGAUUCGUUGCUGUUUUUCUGGGAGCCUCAGUUUCAUCCUUUGAUACGUGAGGUUUAUAAUGAUAUCUUUGAAGUUGUUCCAUAUGUUUCCUAGAUUAUCCUAUGCUGCAAGCUAAGUAAACUGAUAUUUCUAGCGCCACAAAGAGCUACUGCUAACAGAUGCCCGUGAGUUAGCUAAAGGGAAUUCAACUUUUGAGGUUUGUGCAUUCAUUUUCCAUUUUGGGGGCAUGGCCAGAACUUUACUAAUCUAGUUCCUUUUUCACAGCCACUACCACUGGAACCUGACCCUGAUGAUUUCUUGUAUCAUUUGCGGCCAUAUGCGUCGGUAUACAUCAGGAGUAAGAAGGAACAAUCUGGGGUACGCCAUUACUAUUUUUAAUUGUAUUUUCCCAUCCCCAAAGUUGCAUCCGUGCUAUGUGCACUGAUAUUCUAAUAGAUUUAGCAGUAUUGCUGAGGAGAUGAUCAAAUGCUACAAUAAAUGUGCCAUCGGAUUACUAGAACUGUGUAACACAAUUUUAUCCUUUCCUCAUCUCUUUAGGAGCCAUCUUGAUAACACUGCACUUCCACCUAGAGAAACGAGUUGUGCCAGAUUGGGUUAGCUGACAAACCCAACUUUUGGAGAACCAGCAUCCUGACUUGCCUCACACACAAAGGACAAGCAGCAGGAUGUGGCAGCACAUGCUUAGAUAACUGAUCAGCUGUCCAGAAGUGGUUCUUGACAGCCAGCCAGAUGAAAAUUUUACAAAGCAGCAGAGCCCAAGAUUUCCAAAUCUUUUCCAGGGCGUAAACUCGAUGGAUCCCAGAAAGUAAGCAUCGUAGGCCGACUUAUACUGGUAUAGGAGCCUGAUUGAAUUAGGCGCCAUUUGUGCUGAUCUGGCACAUCAUGGUCUAAGACAAGGUUGUCAACCAUAUCCAUCAUGGUGCUGAUCCGGCACAUCAUAGUGUAAGACAAGGUUGUCAACCAUAUCCAUCAUGGUGCUGAUCNNNNNNNNNNNNNNNNNNNNNNNNNNNNNNNNNNNNNNNNNNNNNNNNNNNNNNNNNNNNNNNNNNNNNNNNNNNNNNNNNNNNNNNNNNNNNNNNNNNNAGCCGUCAGCCAGCUCGCUGGCCGUCCACGUCGCCGCCGGCCGCUGCCCUCGACAGCCCCGUCCAUGCCGGCUCCUCUCUAGCAUCACCAUCGCUUGUUCCCAGCAUGGCCCGCCCCGGUUGCAGCAUCCCCCGUCACCGUGGCUCUCGCUGGUUCCGCCGCAUGCAGCUCCUGCCGGCAAAGGUCGCAGCUCCAGCGAAGGAGUGCUGCCAUUGCAUCAAUGAUGAGGUGCCAGUUCCAAUUUUUUGUCGCCGGGUUGAAGCUUUUCAUGUCAAUGAUUGCAACUUUUUCGUUGUGUACUCGCGGAUUGAAGCUUCCCGUGAAACCAGUUGAAGCUUUUUAUAAAACUGGUUGAAGCUUUUCAAUUCAGCGGUUGAAGCUUUUCAAAAUGAUGGCUGUAGAUUUCUUUAUAUCAGUGGUCGGUUGAAACUUCUCUACUCCGCCAUUUGAAGUUUUUUCAAAUAUGGUUUGAAGCUUUCACAUGAACUAUUGAAGCUUAUUUUCAGUUGUACAGGGUCCAUCAAAGCUUUUUCAAACUAUAGUUGAAGCUUUCAUAUGAACGAUUGUAGCUUUUUCGGUGCAUGGUGUCUUAUUGAAGCUUUAUAUACCACUGGUUGAAUCUUUCGCGUCACCGUGGUUGUAGCAUCCAUGGCGGCUUCCAACUCCGGCUCGCCGGGGCGGAAGGAACCUGCAGCCGGGGGUAGCGGAGGAAGUGGGCAUGGCGCUGGCGUUCGAGGUAUGGACCUGCGCGGGAUUGGGGCUAGCCGGCGGCGAGAUCUGAAGGAGGAAGAGGAGGAGCAUGGCCACCCCCGUGCGUGGACGCGGCUGAGAGAGAAUUCGGGAGGAAGAAGGUAGCGAGGAAGAAUGGGGAUCGGGAGGAAGAAAAUAAGGCAGGGGCAGAGGGUCGCGCGAGGUGUACGAUGGCCUCGAUCGUGUGGCUCGCACAGGACCUGCCGGCCGGCGCCGUGUAGAAACGUUUCCCAUGAGGUUAUGUCCUUGGACUGGCAAUCUCUUUGGGCAUUGGUGGCGGCUACCCAUGUCAACCUACCUGCUCUAUCACUAGCGGCCUGGAGGACGGAUGCCACCCUUCAAGAUUGGCUCACUGAUCUUUCCGCCGCCCCGACUAUGGCAAAGAAGGUGCGCUCUGUGAUGUUGCUGUUGAUCUGGGAGAUAUAGCGAGAGCGAAACGACUGCAUCUUCAGGAAUGUUGAGCUGCCACCUUCUUCGGUCCUCCACCGCGUUGAUGAAGAGAGGACUACCUGGGCGUUGGCUGGCUGCCGGCAUUUGUUGACGCGAUAAUAGUGGCCUCUAGCUUUUCUUUCUCCGUUUCCUUUCUUUCUUUCUUUUUCCUUUGGAGGCUCUUUUUGGUGUUUCUUUCGCCGCCCCUCUUAAGAAAAUGCGCAGCUCUCCAGCGUCCCUUCAAAAAAAAAAACAUGGGUACUGGUGCACAUGAUGCAAAUCGUGGUUCAAAAAUAUUUUAUUUGGCCACAACUGAUGCAAACUCGAUUGGACAAACAUCAUUGUAUUACCAGAAAAUCACUUUUGCUCAUCGGUGUAGAUGCAAUCAUUGUCUAAAUACACAUUUUAAAAAGUUAGAAAAAUCGAGAAAACAUCCGGCGUGUACAUCCGGACAUAAUAUGUUCAUGCACAAAGUUUUGAUGGAAAAGGGAACUUUUUGUGGCUUGGGUAAACAAGACAAUUCUGGAUGUUUGAUUAUAACUAUUCAGGAGACUUGUUUUAAAUCUUUUUUAAACAUGCCACAAAAAAUGUUCUUUCUUUGCGAAAUUUUGUGUGCGAACAUACAAUGUCCAGAUGUACAAGCGGAAUUAUUGUUAGAAUUUUUUUACAUUUUGAAAUGUGUUUUUAUAUAUAUUUCAUAAUAGGUUUAUCUAUGGUUUAUUUUCAUCUCGUCUUAUACUUCAAGUUGAAAAUCCAGACGGCGGGUUGAUCAUCUCUUGUCUUCUUUUAAAUAAGAAAAAGACAAGCCUUUUUUUAUGAGUUCUCUCUCCUCCACCUCAUCAUUUAUCUUAUGUGACACUCUUAAGAUAGCACCAUUGUACAUGCCCUUACACGUUGCUGCAAUCGUCCCGCCAUCUUUUUUUGUAAGAAAAGGCAAUCAUGACUAGCUUUUUUCUUUUUUAGAAACCCAUUGUGACUAGCUUUAUAUUAACUUAAAUAUCAACUAGCAAAAGAGCCCGUGCAUUGCAACGGGAGAGAAAACAUAACACACACUCUUAACUCAACAACUAUCACUCAAGACCACAAUACGUCGAUCUCCUUUAUUUUUGCGAGGCAUCAUAUUUUUGUUGCCGCUUAUCCUCCUUCUCACCCUCGCCGGCGAUGGCCUCGGUGUUCACACAAAACAAAAAAAAAACGUGUGUUGAAUAUGGUUAAUCCUAAGGCGUCUCUCUCCCUCUCUUCUCCCUCUCUCUCUCUCUCUCUCUCUCUCUCUCUCUCUCUCUCUCGCUUUCUUUCACUCUCGCAAUGGGAAAUCUGUUGUUUUCCCCUGCGACAUUUUUUAGAGGUAUGCAUGUGUAGUUAUCGAUGUUUUCCUUUCCCUAUAUGGUUAUAGUGGGAUGUUUAUUUGCAAUCUGGAUCGCCUCCGGUAUGAAAAAAAAACAAAUCUUGCGCUAUAAAUUAUAAGUUUGCUUUCAUAACAAUAUUUGAAAAAUAUUUAACAGGUAAAAAUAACAUCAUAUUUAGAUUUCACACAUUUUUCUAAUAAAAUUUCAUAUAUAAUAUAUUAAAAUCGAAGUUACGGUUUAAAAGAUACAUAUAAUUUAGAAAAUCAUUUGGUUUGACUCAAAUAUAUUCCAAAAUAAUAUCUAAAAAUACUUAACAGGUAAAAAUAAUCUCAUAUUCAUAUUUUACAUUUUUUUUAAUCAAAUUUCAUAUAUAACAUGUUCAGAUCGGAGUUACGGUUUAAAAGAUAUGGAUGAUUUUAAAAAGCAUUUGUUUGACUUAAAUAUGAUCUGCGGAUGAAUUAUGUAAAACAUUAGGGGGUUUCGAAAAAUGUAAAAUAAUGGUUCGGGUGUGACUUAAAUCCGGAUGGCGGGUUGAUUUCAAGAAAAAACAGGGACUUUUAUGUAAAAUACAAAAAUAACGAUUCGUUUUAACUUAAAACAGGACUGCAGGUUGAAUUCUCUAAAAUAGGGGGACUUUUCUAAAAAAUGCCAUGACGGACGAAAGAAACCCAAUUUGCUUCAUUAUUAGGUAAAGAUAAAGAUUACAUCGUUUCCCAACACUGGGAUCAUCCAGAGGAUCAUCAGUCCAAGAACAAGAAAGUUUAUGCAAAUAACUAUGCAUUGCUAGACCACGAGCAACCCCAUUAGCUUCUCUUCUAUAAUGCCUAAAUUUGGCUUUUCCCUUUUAAAUUUGCAGUGUCAAGGCAAUCUGCAUAAAUAGCCGCAGCCGAGUCCCACCAUUGUGAUGAUCCAGAAUAGAAAUUGAUUACCUCCAUUGAGUUAGAUUCACCUUCUACAAUGUUGCAUCCUAAUGAAUUGGCCAAGAUCAAUCCAUCUCUCGUUAUCAUGGCUUCCGUAGUGCUAGAAUCUGCAGCAAAUGGAACGACAGGAGCAUUGUGCCGCAAUAAACCUUCCUUUGUGGUCACGGAUAACAGCUGCUGUAGCGCCAGUACCUUCAUCAACAUAAAACGCCGCAUCCACAUCCAGUUUCACUGUCCUGAUCAUUGGUUUCCUCCAUCUAAGAUAUGCUUCGGCCACCUGCAUGUUGGGAUGAUUUGUUGCGUUUACAGUAAUAGCAAGGAUAGAAAUGGCACUAUGGCCCAGUUGGUGAGCAAUCCCCUCAUGCGUAAUUUGGUGUCGUAGCCACCACAAGUACCAGCAGGCCACUGCAACCGUUUCACUAACGCCUGUGUCGUUCCUGGCAUUACUCCGUGCUCACCACAGAGUAGUUAUUUUAACAGUUCAGAAUCUAAAAUAUCAGGUUAUAAGAUUGUAAAUGCCAAGUCUAUUCCAUAGCUGCACAACCAUGAGUCCAUGCUGCAUGAAAAUAAAAGAUGCUUUAUGUCUUCGCCUCCUGUUUGCAAAUGGGACACUGCCCAAUGGAUCCAACAUGCCGAACAAUGCACGCCGUACGGUCUAAUCAACCGCACGUGUUGUGCCAAAUUUUUUAGAUUGUCAUCAAGUUUUCACGUCUCUCCACUGAUCGAGCAUCGGACUGCCGUCGUGUCUCCCUGUUAGGCCGUAGCGUUGUAGUUUCAUGGUUCUGUUAUUUCCAUGUUUGCACCGAUCAGCGCGGUGACGCUGUGUGGCCCCUUUGGACCAUAGCGCCGCGACAAGUGGUUCACUUGCCGUCCCUACGCGUCGACUUUUAUGUGGUAUGUGUCGCGCUGCUUCCCUAGGCGUCAUCGUUCGUGCAUGGUUUUCGUCACGCUAUUGGGUUCUUCCUUGCCUACUUCGAACACUGCCGCCGUACUUCUACCGGCGACCGACAUGGCCCCCGCGAGUUGCCUCUGGUUCCACCGCCUACUUCGCCGUCCACCUCUUCGUGUUCGUACAACACCAGCUCAUUGUUAGCGUCGCCGUUAUCUCCCCCAACCACUUCAUAUACUCCGACAACCGCGGUCGACAUCGGCACCUUCUACCCCACGUCAACUGGCGCAACAACUGUCUAAGUCCUUCUUUGCUAGCUCCCACGACAUUGUACCACGCAAGGAAGAUGGAUGGAACAUAGAUUCUCAUGGUGAGUUAUGCGGAUGGAGACGAAAGCAACCUUGGGGAGAGACGAUGAGUAUCUCAGGAUGAGAUCGAGAAGGAAGUUAGCGAGAUCUACAAGAGGGAACUAAUCCUGGAGAGAAAACGUCCACGCGUGAACCAAAUCGAUGGAGUAAUUAAACUGGUAGCGAGAUCGACGGGAGGGGGGCAACCAACGGAGGACGGAGGAGAGCCGAACGUGUUUUCUGAGCGAAACAGAACGAAGGGAAGGUGGAUUUUGACGAAAGGCUCGACAGGACGUGGUCCUUCUGGUAGGAAAAUGAUCCUUAUUAUAUAGACAAACUUUUAUGCAUUCGUUUAGCAAGUUUCCUGCAGCAACGCGUCGGGGCAUCAUCUAGUUAGCUUAAUCCCCAUGGCCAUAUUGUCAUCCAGUGGUUGCUUGUGGGGGAUUACAUGGGUUCAAUGUGGGUUAUGUGGGAAAGCCCAUAAGUCCCACAUAAUAUUGAAGCCUGUCCACGAACACUAUUUUUUCUUGGACGUGUGCGCCGCGAAUAGACCGUGUCCAUCUACAGCUUGAAACCUUUUGACAACACCAACUAAAUGAAAACAACCAGCAAAAACGCUUCUGACGUGACACUAAACCACUUAGGGGUGUCCAAGGAGAAGUAAGAGAGGUUCUGAAUGUUACUAGCCUGAUUUUUGAGGAGAAAUAUUUGGGUCUUCCAACUCCUGAUGGACACAUGUCUGAAGGAAGAUUUCAAAAUCUACAAAUGAGGUUGACAAAAUGACUCAUCCAGUGGGGUGAUGGCCUUCUAGCUCAGCCCGGUAGAGAGACUCUCAUCAAGUCUGUUCUUCGUCCACACUCCGGGAUAACAGGCAAGCAACUCCUCACUUCAAUCCUCAUUCUCUGUGGUGCAGCGUGGUUUGUAUCCGCCGCUGUCACAUCAAGUUUCUCCCUUGCCUUGAUCCAGUUGGCGCACCAUCCCGUCCCGUCUCCUGCCAUCCCACGUUCUAUCGUCGCCGCCCUAGGGGUCCAAGGAGGACCAGCCGACCGGAGCAAGGUUGACGUGGCGAAUGCGAGGUGUGAGCCGGUGACGGCCUGAUCCCGCUCCGAGCGACCGACCCGUGCAGGGAUCUGCCGCUUGCAGGCCCGUGGCUUGGAUAGGGGCGCUGACAUUCUGUUCGGAGUACCAGCCAACCGUAGCGAGCAUUGCUGUGACGAGGUGUGAGCGGGUGACGCCCUGGUACUGCCCCGAGCGACCGUGCAGGGAUCUUCCGCCUGUAGAUCCGUGGCUUGAAAAGUGUCAACAGUGGUGCGAAUAUUCUCUUCAGUGAACUCGGUUGCACGGUAAGCUUUGCUUCAUGAUUUUCUUCACCUGAGGGUGUAUCGUGAAGUUGCUUUUAUGAGUUCAGUUUAAGAAUAGGCUGGAAAAACACAUUUUGGAGCAAAAAUGUACAUAAAACACUAUCAGCAUUAACAAGAGUCCGUGAGCACACUACUUACUAUUUAUUAUGACACUGCUACUAGUUCUAUGGGAAGCUUUGAAUCUGCCACCAAUAAAAGGUGAAAACUAUGGAAUUGCCAUUAUGAUCGUUGGUUUCUUUGUGAGCUUAUCAUCGUCCAUCCGUCCCUGUCCAUUGCGCCCAGUCUAAGUUCUUAUAUUCCAGUGGUCCCCAGAUAGCUGACUUAAACAAAUUUAUAUUCCAGUGGAAGUUGUUAGUAAUAUCCACGCGUUGAAUGAUUGAGACACCGGUUUAUGUACUAAUGAGGUCCAUUGUCCAUCUUCAAUCUGUUUUUAUCAUGAACUCAGUUCUGUGAAAUAUGUGUAAAUUUUAAGAUAGUGAUUACAUAUCUCUUUCUUUUCCACAAAAAGAAGAAACUGAAUUGUCUAUAUAACAUAUAUGGUGUUUAUUUGUAGGUUUCAGAAAUCUAUAAUAUGAGCACAGAUGAAGCUAAGCCUGCUGGGUCUGCACUUACCCAUCAAGUAAGUAGCUCUACUUAAAGAGUAUCAUUUGAAAGGAACUUCGCAAGGCUCCAUAACAUCCAAAGUCCCUUAUUUGUGUCUUAUUUAACCUCCUAAAACUGUAACAGUGGACCACUUUACUCUUCACUGAUUUUGUUAGGUUGUUUUUAUGACGUGGAUGUGAGUUGGCUCCUAGUCCAAAACACAGUGGUUUGUCUGACAUGGCAUCCACUUGUGUGUUUACCUAGCAGUGGGUCUCAUAUGUCAUACCCAACUUCAAAAAUACUUACUUUAUUUCGCUAUGUUUGUAGUUUUGACUGUGCACUAAAUCAAAUUAUUUAGUUUGGCCAAGAAUGUUGAAAAAAAGACAUAACUACAAACAUUGUAAAAAAGAGUAUGUAAAAUACAUAAAUUGUGAGCCACAUGGCUCAUCACUUAACUUGGCAUUGACUGAUCCAAAUCUGUUCCUUAUCUCGAUUUUGCUGGGCAAGAGGUGCCUCACUCCUCCAGGAGGAGGAACAUUGAUCUCCAACGCUGAACUGUCCAAUAUCUGAAACCAUGGUUGAGCAAUUUGGCCCUCUCGUAUUUUGGGGUCAAACUUUGACCUUAGAUUUGUCUAACGAAAUAUAAUUUAUAUGCCACAAAAAUUAUAUUGUUGGAUUCAUAUUUGAAAGAAGUUUCUAACGAUAAAUUUUUUGUGGCAUAUAACUUCUUUUUUGCUAGUCAAAUUUAUGGGCAGAGUUUGGCACAAAAUACGAGGGGACUCAUAAACCUGGACGGAGGAUUUAACAUAGUGUGUUAGACCCCAAUGGGGAAAAUUGUGGACGUGGCAAUAUAUGUGGUGAUACCACACAUCCACAUGCUAGAAACCACUUGGUAAAACUCAUUUAGGAGCUAAAUUAACAAGUAUUCAAGGUUAAACAAGAUGAAAAAUUGUUUAGCAUGUUACACGAGCUUUGCGAAUAUUUGGACAGUAUAAAAGUACAUUUUCGUAUUUUAUAAUGUUGUUAAUACUAUAUUCAUCAUGAUAAACUAUUAUUUAUUUCAGGUUGAUGGCAUAAGUCAGAUUUUUGUAAAAAACAGUGAUGCCCACAAAAUGAAACAUCCCUCUUCUUUGCACUAUUACAAUGGAUUUAUCAAAUUGGGUAACCAAGCUGAAAAAUUGGAGUCAAUUGAUGUAACUGUAUUGGGCUUCUCAACUACUGAAAUUGGAAAAAUUCAUUAUGACAAUCUUGCAAAUUUUGAUCAUCCCGGAAUAAUUGAAGCUUUCGCAUAUGGAGUUGGCAAAGGAAAACACUCAAAUAACUCCUUUCUGGCCGUCACAAAAUUUGAAACUACAUUUGAAGGAUACCUUCGGAGAGAUGGUCCGGCGCUUGAUCAGCAAAACCGAUUCACGGAGAACUUUAUAAACUUUCUCAGGUAUGAUUUUAUAUUUUUGUGUUUGUUCACUAGAUAUAUCUUAUCAGUAGUGUUUCUUAGUCCUAUAGAAGAGUAAUUCUUUAUCUUAUUCAUGAUUGGUCUUAUUAUUAGCAUUAAGCCAGAUAAAUUUCUUUAGCUUAUUUGUUCAAUAGAUGACCUGAUUGUUUCUUCUUUCAUACCGAGUUUUUAGCAAAAGCUGCCCUAUGAGGUCAUAUUCAUUGGCUUAAAUGAGUUUUGGGCGGCGGCAGGAGCAUAGCGGGCAGUGCGGUUGAUUGCAAUCUUUUCUAAUGGAAAGUUUUUUUUAAUGCUUCCUAAUGGACUAAUGGAAAGGGUUGAUGCAAUUUAUCAUCAGCGAUAAAUUAGCGAUUUUCUAAUGAUGUGUUCGGGCUACUGCAAGACGCGAUAUCUGAUUGCCAACCUGCAGUUGAUGGGGGAUUAUAACUGUUGGUACCGGAUUCCCAAGAAUUGUGAAAUGUCUAAAAUAUUGAAUGACGCACUCCGAGACUUAAUGGCAAACUCACUAUUUUGCCUUUUAAUAUUUAUGAGUUGUGACUCCAGGCUCCUAAGCUUCUUAGACUUUAUAAGUUGUUAUAAGGUUUAAGAUAUUAUCAAUUUGAGAGAACAUAAAUUCGCACAUAUGAAAAUGUUGAUUCGCUGUUAUGUUCUCACCUUUGGUUGUUUCAAAAUCUGUUUUUAUGCUAUUUUGAUAGGGAUAUGCCAACCCUUAAUUAAUUUAACAAUAGCAAAACGGUGUGAUGACUGUUGGUAUGUGAAUAUGAAUGAAUGAAAUUAUAUGUUUAAAUGGAUUUCCUUUGCAGCCACAUACAUUUAUGCUUUAGCCUUUAUGAAUUCCUUGGCCUUCGGUCACUGCAUGUAAAUCUGUUUGUGUUUAUGUUUGUGAGAAAUACUGUAGAUCUAUUAUAACGGUUGGUACCAUUAAAUCUGGACCUGUAUUAAUAUUGCUGGCGUUAAUAACGAUAUGAUGACAGUGUACCACAACAAAUUCAGUUAAUUUUCCUGUAAACAUCCUCUUUCCAUGCAGAAUGAUUGUCUCAAGUUUCUUGCUCAAAAUAGGCCUGCUCAUGUACCGAUCUGAUCAAGAGAUGUGCUUACUGGUGAGUGACGGCGAAACUAGCUACAAUCACCUUUAUUUUUAUCAAUUCCUUGCUGAUAAUACUCUGGUUCUUACUUUAUCUACAGAGCUCUAAUUAUAUUCUCCUAAUAUUUUGUGUGGCCUUUAGAUCGUUCAACGUUGAGAUGAUGUACCAAACGCCGACUUCUUUAGCCUUCUUCGAGGCAUGUCAGUCCCUUUCCUUUUCUGCUAAUUGCUUCCAUGUUUUUUGGCUGUUCACUGGAGUGGGAUAACUUGGAAAGCUGUUACAACAGCCCAUUCUACAUCUUUGAUGAUAUUUAGUGUGAAACAGACUGGGCAUGGAUUAUUUAUCCUAAAUAUUUUGUAUAUAUACUUAGUCUAGAAAAAAGUGUGUGCUAGGUCUCAGGUUUGUUCAUUUCACCAUCUCCCAAUAAUUUGGCCUGGUGUACAGACCUACAGCUCUUAGUAAAUUCUACUUCUAGGUGCGUUCAUGUCAGGGAUUUUCCACUGGUUGCUAAGCAAUAGAUAACUGAGAUAGAAGGCUUUGUUUAUCUUUGUUUCCAUAUUUUAUUAGAUCAUAAAAAGCUAUUUCCUUUGUUUCGUGGUACAGUUGCACAUUUUUACUCUAGGAAUAUUAGCUUAUGAACUGUGAUGCAAAAUUAAUAGAUAACUGAGAUAGAAGGCUUUGUUUAUCUUUGUUUCCAUAUUUUAUUAGAUCAUAAAAAGCUAUUUCCUUUGUUUCGUGGUACAGUUGCACAUUUUUACUCUAGGAAUAUUAGCUUAUGAACUGUGAUGCAAAAUUAAUAGAUAACUGAGAUAGAAGGCUUUGUUUAUCUUUGUUUCCAUAUUUUAUUAGAUCAUAAAAAGCCAUUUCCUUUGUUUCGUGGUACAGUUGCACAUUUUUACUCUAGGAAUAUUAGCUUAUGAACUGUGAUGCAAAAUUAGGAUGUCGAUCCAAUUGCAGUUGCUUUUCUCUUGCAGCAGCAAAUUUCACCUUCAACCACUAUAACUAUGGUGAAAAAAUAGGAUAGACAUUUAAUCAAUACUGAAUUUUGUGAAUGUUUACCAACAAUUUCGUCUUGGUUACUCUUGGUGGCUGCAGAUUGCAGAUAGUUGGUCUGGUUUUUGUAUAUUUCAUUUCAGGUUUUGCAAACUGACAACCGAAUUUUCCUGAAAAGAAGGGACUUAAUCUGAAUAGACUAAAUUGCUCCUAAUAUCAAUCUCCGUGUGUAUCUGCCCUUUCUUAUUUCAGUACAUCGCAUUGCUAAUAAUGCUUAGUAUACAUGCUGCUAAGUUUGUAAUCUUACCUUCUCAACAGUUCUGCAGUCUGGAUGUAUUUUGGAUGGCCUAUCUGAAUUACAGGCGUCUCCUUGACCUAUUACUUGCCGACGAACUUUGGUGCGUCGCAAAGAAUCACGCAAAUUGUGGAGAAGUUUCCAGUAAGCUGUCGUAGAAUUCUGUUGCCGAGUGGUUCUCUGGAGUUGACUCUCACAUCUGGGAUCAUAUUGGCUGUUUCAAACUUGUGAGAGUAACAGUUAUUCAGAAUGGCUCUAACACGUGAACGUCACCGUGUAGAAUUGUAAAUGUCAACAUUCAGAGGCUGCUUCUACGUUGGUUUAUGAUUGUACACCCGUCCACGCAUGUCAUGCAUUAUUGAGACUGUCAAGUGUAAACCACUUCUUCCGUGGAAUCCUGGAAACUCAAACAGAGCCCUUCGAUACAAGUUGUACCAGGUUGUUGAUUGCUCUCAUUUUCCCACGUAACCCCUCGUGCUGACGAGCUAAUGCGCUACAGGCCCAAUAGAUUAGGCGCCCUGCAUUUUUAAUGGGCUGGCGGCGAAUACCCUCUUUUUUUUGCGUGGGUUUUUCCUCGGUACUUUUUCGAGGAUACUCCCGCCCUUGAAACUCCUCCCUUUGGUCAUCCCUUUGCUAGAC
rnacentral:lncRNA from 1 species